UUUCCUAUGGUGAAAACCUCUCAAACUCGCAACGCUCAAUGGUCAACUAGAGUGCACAGUGAAUGGUGCGGGUGCAUCCAAAAACCCUAGGAAGCUAAAACAGAAAGAUGAAACACACUGGCCGCACAAAUAUCCAUGAGACCUAGCUCCGAGCUAUACGAGUCUUCAAUGAUCGGACUCCAAUCGACAUCAAAGUGUCGCUCUCCUCCAGAAUGCUCCCAUACAUUGAUAUAGCCUGUCGCUAAACCCUACUCCUAAUCUCUGGCUCGGUCAGAGAAUAAGCACACAGAGGGCCUCACACUUGCAAUAGUGAGGACCAGAAUGAAGGGAAUGACCGAGACCAAGAGAUUUGGAGGUAGGGGGAUAGAUGUGCGGCCCACAUAGACAGGCGACAUGCAAUCAAGCAGAGGAAGGGUAGUCAUGCGACAUGCAGUUAAGCAGUAGACAGAAUACAUCACUUAUGCACACACACAAACUAUGACGAUCAGGAUGAAUAGCGACACGAACAUCAUGCUCAAAGACAAUCAAGAUAGUAUACAAGCCAAAGAAAACAACAUGGCAAGUCAAGCGAUGUGCAAUAGUGAGUCUAUAUAUGUGAAGUAAGUAGAACAAUCAGGAAGAAUCAGAAUCGCUAUACCAAGCAAAACAAGAUGAGCAGUCUAUGAUAAUCAGCAUGUUAAUGUACUAAACUAAUAUAGCAAUGAAGCACAGAAAAAGUGACAUCCGAAACCCCAAUCAAGAUAAUUGAUAUAUCAAUGUCCCAAUACAAUAUCCAAGCAUGCAUAAAAAAACUCUCAAUGUGCAAUCAAGAGACAAGUACUCAUUGAUUGACUCAUCAAAUACCACAUUUGCUUCAUCCUAAGUUCAAGCUUGACCCUCUAAAUGAUCCCCAACGGAGUCGCCAUUUUGUGGACCCUGUAUUUCGGCUCAUGCGAUUUCCACUCAAUGGCGAGCUCGAUUUUUAUUUGAAAAUGAUUUUAUUUAUUAAAAAAAAAAUAUGACUUGGAGUCACCACUUAUUUUUGUUUUAUUUUUAAAAGGGUAAACAAAAUAAGAAAGAAAACCCUAAGUGUGACUCCUUAUUUUGGAAAAUAUGAUAUGUGAAAAACCGGAUCGGGCUCGGGGGUCAGGCUACUUAUCGAGAAGGUACAGUAAAAACCAUAGCACCCCUCUAAGUCCCUAAAGUUGGGUCUCUACUAACAAAAUGAAGUUGAUGUGGUGAUCAAUAGGAAAAUCAAUGGAUACUCAAAUCGACCAUGCACAUAUGGGAUCAAAACAUGCAUAAAGAAUGACCAGAAUGGGAGUUGAUGCGUACCUGGGCCACGAACGAGCAAUGCGCUAUCAUAAAAAUGGGGUCGGUGUACAAUAAAGAGCACAAAACAUAUCACACGCGUCACCAAAUAGAACUUAAAAUUGUUCAAGGGAAAACUAGAUUUUUUAAAUUUUAUUUGAAAAUUGGAGUCUUAGAGAUUAUUUGAAAAUUGGAGUUUUAGAGAUUAUUUGAAAAUUGGAUUUUUAGAAAUUAAAUAUAAGAAUGAGAAUUUUAGAAAUUAAAUUUGAAAAAAAUUGGAAUUUUGAAAAUUAUUUGAGAGGUUGGGGGUUUUUUUUUUUAAAAAAAAAUUAAAUUACGGAAAUUGGGACUUUAGAAAUAAAAUUUUGAAAGAAAUUAGAAUCGAAAAUUGUUUGAGAAGCAGAAACUAUGAAAAUUGAAUAAAAAAAUUGGAAAUCUUGAAAAUCAUUUUAAAGCAUAAUUUUUAGAAAUAAAUGAAUAAAAUGAUAAUAAUAAAUAAGUAACGGAAUAAAUGCGAGAAUUGGAACAUUGGAAACUGAAAAAAAUUAAGUUCGGAAAUUGAAAAAUUGGAAUUUCAAAUAACUAAAUUUGGAAAUCGAAAUUUUAAAGAAUUAUUUAAAGACGGAAUUUCAAAUAAAUGAAUAAGUGAUUAAAUAAAUUAAUGAAAUAAUAAUAAUGACGAAAUAAUAAAGAUUAGGUAAAUAAUUGCGAAAAAUAGAAUUUUAGAGAUUGAAGAUUGAAUUUAGAGAUUGAAAAUUUGAGAAAUUAUUUAGAGAUGAGAUUUUAAAUAUAUGAAUAAGUGAAUAAAUAAAUGAACAUGAUAAUAAUAAUAACGAAAAUAAUCAUUUAACAACUGAAUGUGAAUAGUGAAAUUUUUUAGAUUGGAAAUUAAAUUUGAAAAACGGAAUAUUGAAAAAUUGAACUUUAAUUAUUAGAAUUUCUAAAAUAAAUGAAUGGAAUAAUAAUAAUAAUAAUGAAAAUAAUAUUUAAAUGAAUGAAAGUGAAUAGUGGAAUUUUUUAGAUUGAAAAUUAAAUUUGAACGUCAGAUUUUUCAAGAAUUGGACUUUAGUGAUUGAAAUUUUUAAAAGAAAUAAAUAAAUAAAUAUGGAAUAACAAUAAUAAUUAACAAAAAUAAUAUUUAAACGGAUGAAAGUGAAUAGUGAAAUUUUUUAGAUUGAAAAUUAAAUUUGAAAGUUAGAUUUUUGAAGAAUUGAACUUUAAUGAUUGAAAUUUUUUAAAGAAAGAAAGAAAUAAAUAUGGAAUAAUAAUAAUAAUAAUGAAAAUAAUAUUUAAACGAAUGAACGUGAAUAGUGGAAUUUUUUAGAUUGAAAAUUAAAUUCGGAAGUCAGAUUUUUGAAGAAUUGAACUUUAAUGAUUUGAAUUUUUAAAAGAAAUAAAUAAAUAAAUAUGGAAUAAUAAUAAUAAUAACAAAAGUGAUGUUUAAACGAAUGAACGUGAAUAGUGGAAUUUUUUUAGAUUGAAAAUUAAAUUCGGAAGUCAGAUUUUUGAAAAAUUGAACUUUAAUGAUUGGAAUUUUUUUAAAGAAAUAAAUAAAUAAAUAUAGAAUAAUAAUAAUAAUUAACAAAAAUAAUAUUUAAAUGAAUGAAAGUGAAUAGUGGAAUUUUUUAGAUUGAAAAUUAAAUUUGAAAGUCAGAUUCUUGAAGAAUUGAACUUUAAUGAUUAGAAUUUUUUUAAAGAAAUAAGUAAAUAAAUAUGGAAUAAUAAUAAUGAUUAACAAAAACAAUGUUUAAAUGAAUGAACGUGAAUAGUGAAAUUUUUUUAGAUUGAAAAUUAAAUUCGAAAGUCAAAUUUUUGAAGAAUUGAACUUUAAUGAUUGGAAUUUUUUAAAGAAAUAAAUAAAUAAAUAUGGAAUAAUAAUAAUAAUUAACAAAAAUAAUAUUUAAAUGAAUGAAAGUGAAUAGUGGAAUUUUUGAGAUUGAAAAUUAAAUUUGAAAGUUAGAUUUUUAAAGAAUUGAACUUUAAUGAUUGGAAUUUUUUAAAUAAAUAAAUAAAUAAAUAAAUAAAUAUGGAAUAAUAAUAAUAAUUAACAAAAAUAAUAUUUAAAUGAAUGAAAGUGAAUAGUGAAAUUUUUGAGAUUGAAAAUUAAACUUGGACCUUGGAGAACUAGACCUAAAAUUAGAACCUUAGAAAAUUAUUUCAUGAAUGGAAACUUGGAAAACCGAUUUUUUUUUUUGUUUUUUUAAAAAGAAAACAAAGUUUAGGUAAAUUGAAUUUUCGAGAAUCAAAAUUUUAUAAAUCGAAUUUAAAAUUAAAUUUUAGAAAAUUAUUUCGAAAAUGAUAUUUUGUAUAAUUAAAUUUAAAAUCUUCAUAAAAAUCAUAUUUGUAUCAUUAGAAAAAGGACUUAAGAGGGCCAAAUACUUGGCCCAUUAGGGCCUACACUAAUCUGGCCUAAACUUAGAGGAUGGGGCUUAAGGCCCACCUGAACCAAUCUAGGCCCACAACUUAAAGCUUUGGGAGCCCACCAACAAAAUGGCUACCAUGAAGAUCAAAGGGUGCCACCUCCUCAUUUUUUAAAAGCUAGAGGGAUGGCUAAUGGGUAGCAGGUUAGCGGUGAAGAAUAGGGCCUGCAUGUCGAUGAUGGCUGUGAUGAAAUAGAGGAAUGGAGUGGGAGUUGCUGCCCAUGAACUACCGCGCGGGCAAGCGGACAAGAGCAUGGGUGCGGUGGAGGGCUUCGUCGUCUUCACCGCCAAGCGCCACUACCUUACCGCCACAAGUGCCGGAGGAGGUGAAACAGAAAGCGGAGAAGGGGACAACUGCUCCCCCGCCGACGCUAUCGUCCAUUUUAAUGACGACUCUUGGAGGCGAACCCAGCGGCACCUCUCUCGGCCAUUUUCACGAACCCUUCACGCUCUGCUCGGAGCUUCUUGAUGCUGCCUUUGAUGCGACUUUGGAGCUACGUCGGCGUGGCUGCGGGAGUGAGGAAGACUGCCACCUUAGGAUCUUUUGGAUCGAGCGGCCCAACCUUGGCUGUUAGGCGGUAGUUGUGUGGCUGUCCAUGAAGGAUGGGAACGUGGCAAUGGAGGAAAAUGGGUACAUAAAAAAAAAGGUGGGUAUGAAAGGUAGUGAAGGCAUGAAGGGUGUUUAACUUUGGAUUUGGGUCCAUGCGCGUGGAUAAAGUUGAUGGUGAGCAUAUGUUGGAGGGGGUUCUCGGUAGACAAGAGUCUAAGAUUUUCAUGGAAGUUUCAAAUGGAUCCUCAGGAACAGAGCAGGUUCCAAAGUCAUGCUAAAUUCAUUUUCUUGCUAUACCCGGUGGGUGAGGCGAACAACGAGCAUCCAUGCUAUUAAAUGAAUAUCAAAAUAAAUAAAAAAAUUUGAUACCUUACUCAUUUAUAAGAGAAAACGAAGAAGCGAAAAAGAAGAACAAAACAGAGCAAGUGAAGCGAGCUUAGGCUCAACAAGGUCCAAUCCUCAACAAGUGACGUUCAAGACCAGCAAUGGCAAAUGAGGAAGAAUAAAAAAUAAAAAUGAAAUGAAAUAAAAGAAAUCUGAAAGCAAAGGCAUCCAAUAUGGCCAUACCUGAGUUUCCCUAGUGAAGCUUUGUCUCGCUUCCUUUGACUGGUUUUUUUCUCCAGCUGCUUUCCCCCCUUCUGAAAAGUCCUUCGUUCGAGCUCACCCUUUUUUCUCUCUCCUCUCGUCUGGCUUCUCCUCCAAGCUAUUACCCACUCCCUUGUUCACCGAUCAGCAAGCAUGUCAUCUUCAACCACCACCAUGGCUAGCAAUGCUCCUUACCACCCAUCUAUGCAAUUGGUUCUCGGCAUAAGGAAGGGUUCCCCCACUCGUCUAAGGUGCUGCCCGCUCCUCCAGGUGGUGAGAAAGCAUCCUCCUAAUGCUAUAAAAUCCCUCAAAAAAACUAAUAGCCUUUAGUUUUUAAAAAGGGGUCUACACAUUUAUAAUUACUAAAUAAAUUAUUUUAAUAUACAAAUUAUUACUCUUUCUUUUUAAAUUGAUUAAUACUAAAAAAAAAUAUAUCUCUUAAUGUUGAAAUUUUUAUUGAAAUUUAAUUUUUUUUUUUAUUUUAUUCCUUUUACAAUGAAAUUUUAAAUUAAAUAUUAAUAUUUUUAAUUUUAAAAUUUAUAUAAUAAAAUUAAUUUAAAAAUUAAAAUAAAAUAUUUAGUAGUAUUUGGGCUUUGUAGUAUUGAAACUUUGGUAUAAGAAAUUUGAAAAUACUUCUAUAAUUAUUAAAAAAAAUUAGUAGAAUAAGAUAGUCCUUUCAACAUAAUUGAGACAUUAAAUUUUAAGCACUCUAAAAUUAUAAUCUUUACAAAUAAUAAAGAAGUUUUUGCAUCGAGACCAACUGAAUAUGAUUUGUAUGUUCUUAAUUUUCAUUUUCUUAUCUUUUAUCUUCCUAUACCUACAAGCCUAUUUAGAGAAAGACCUUUUAUUGAAAAAUGAGAGUUCAGAGUUAUUUCCCUUUGAAAAUAGAGUGGAUCGGAAGGUCUUUAUUAAAUAUAGGGUUUCUUCUAAAACGAGAUGAAGUAAAUUAGCAACUCUGAACAAUCUGAAGGAAAAGGAAUUUGAGUUAAGUUGAUGGGGCGUGCGACACUUUAUUAGGACUUUAAGAGAUAUUUUCUCUUUCACGCUAUCCUUUGAAAUUGAGUUGUGUCCGUUUUCAACUUAAUUUUUUGCUCUCUGUUUUUCUAAUGAAAAUAUAUCUUUUGUUGGGAGAAAAUAUUUUGUUGAAUAUAUAUAUUCAAAUGGAAGGUAAGCAAAAAAAAAUGAUAAAAAAUGGGUGUGAUGAAAUUUCAAAUUAUUGAUCAUCAUAUGUAUUUAACCUAAAUCUUAAAAAAGUGAAUGAAAUUAACUCGUUAAAUUUGUUCAAUACCACUUUUUAUAAAUAAUUUUUUAAUCAUGUAGCAUUCAAAACAAAAAACAUAUAAUUAACGAUAACAUGAAAUUAUUAAAAUAUUUAAAAUUAAAUAAUAUAAAGAAACAAUAAAAUGGUUCAUUUAUAUUGUUAGAACCAUUGUUUUAAAAACUGGUCACUCCGAUCGGUCGGAUGGUCCAUCAAUGCCCUUUCCAGUCUGAUCUAGGGAAAUGGACAGAGACAACUGACAAUCAGACCAUCGACCAUUCUUCAUGGACCAGUCAAGGUCAAAACCUAAAUGGCCUUGCCCAAAUCCAUUAAUUCCUAACCCGUUUGCUUGUUCCCAAGGUUAACUGACAUACCAUCGACCAUUCUUCAUGGACCGGUCAAGGUCAAAACCUAAAUGGGCUUUGCCCAAAUCCAUUCAUUCCCAACCUAUGUGCUUGUUCCCAAGGUUUGUAAGUAUAAAUACCCAUCUAUUGGCCCAAAUUCAUUAUUUCAAGCCCAUUUGCUUGUUCUCAAGUUCUACAGGUAUAAAUACCCUAUAAGUGGUUUAUAGAUUUCCAAUGUGGGAUGAGUUUUGAUAAUAAUGAAAGGAGCUUUGCAUGGUGGGGAAUUGAACCUAGGACUUAUUUUUAACAAAAUGUUAGCACACCACUAUGUUACAAAGCUAUUUGAUUAAUAAUUUGAUAAAUAUCUAUAUAUCUGUUUUUUAAUUUCUAUCAUAUAAAACAUUUAAACAAAUAUAAAUAUUUAUAUCUACUAUUAUUUUUAUAAUAAUUAUACAUAUCCUAUUUAAUAAAAUUUAAUAUAUUAAUACAUUUAUAUUUAUAUUUAUCAUUUAAUUUGACAAAUUGAACAUAAAAAAUAAAAUAUUAUUAAAAUUUUUAAUAAAAUAUAUUUUAAUUUAUUUUAAUUUUAUUAAAAUAUAAAUUAUAUAUUUAUAAUGUCAUCGAUUUGAUCGCGGUUUGACCACUGGUUCAACUAGUGAACCAUGAACUGGUAACUUUUUCGGUUCAAUAUUCGAUCCAAUUUUGAAAACAUUAGUUAAAACUUUUUUAUUUAUAGAAAAUGGUAAUAUGCUUUAAAGUUGUAGGAUGUUAAAAGCCCAAAUACAUGCCUACAUAUUUUCUUAUUUAUCUCCUAGUAUUUUUACCAAGUGAUAGAUAUAUUGGUGGCCAAGCAUUAUCAUCAUCAUUAUUUAUCUCCUAACAUCUUUAUGAAGUGAUAGGUGUAGGAAGAGUGUAAAUAAUUUUUAUUUUUAUUUUAUUUUAUUCUAUUAGUUUUAUAUUUUUUGGGAAGAGUCCUAUUGGGAAUUAUUUUUAUUUUAUUUUAUUCUAUUAGUCUUAUAUUUUUGGGAAGAGUCCUAUUGGGAUUGUGCUAGUGGAGUCCCAUUCCUUUUAUAAGUAGAAUCCUCUUCCACUUUGAGUUAUCUUUUGAUUACAAGCAGAUUCCCAUUAGGAUUGUGUUAAUGACCUAUAAAAGCAGGUCACCUUUUGCUCUCUAUAUGCCAAUACCAAUUUUUCAAAGAAUUUUUCAGAGCGUUUUUCAACCAUCUAUUUGGAUGAAUUUUUUCAAAAACCCGAACUGUAUACAUCUCACUUACAGAAUGCACCCAAGGCGACAUCUAGGUGUUGAAUCCCGGAGAUAGACCAUUGGUACCCUAGUGUACCGAAUUUGUCUUCGAGUAGGAUGAAUCUAUUUCAAGGACAGUGUUUGUCAUGCCUCAUUCGAUAAGUUUUUCUUCUUAUUAAUUAUGUUCUUUGUUUGUGUCUUUUGGGCUAGUCAUUUGUUUCCAUACCCUUAAUCCAACAAUCUUGAAAUAUAUCCAAAUGUAAGCUUCUCUAGUUCACACCCAUCCUAACACCUCUAAAAUUGAUCCCUUCAAUGGGACAUUCUUUAAGAGAUGGCAGGAAAAGGUUUUCUCUACAAUUGAUGUAGUGAACUUAGGACACAUUUUGACUGACCGAAUACCAAAAGAUAGUUCUCAUUUGUUACCAACCUGGGAAAUUGGAAAUAAACAAGUUAGGCAUGCUAUUCUAAGUACCCUUUCUAAUGAACUUUUUGAUAUUUAUUGUCAAUUUAAAGUUGUAAAAGAAAUUUGGGAUGCAAUGAAUAAAAAAUAUAGUUUGGAAGAUACAGGAACUCAAAAAUAUGCCAUAGAGAAUUUUAAAAAUUUCCAAAUGACUGAGGAUAGAGAUGUAUCAUCUCAAAUCCAUGACUACCACUUGUUGAUUAAUGACUUAGCUAUUGAAGACAUUAAAUUACCCGAACCUUUUGUAGCUGGUUAUUUAGUAGAGACUUUUCCAGAGUCUUGGAAAGACUACAAAAAUAACAUGAAACAUAAAAGGAAACAAAUGUCCCUAGAGGAUGUCAUAAUCUAUAUUAAGAUUGAGGAACAAAACCGAAAUAGGGAUAAUGCUGAGAAAGUUAAGGACUUGUCUUCUAAGGCUAAUGUAGUAGAAGAAAAACCUAAACCCAAAAACAAUAGGUCCAGGAAACAAAACUCUAGGAACAAACCCAAUGCAUCAAACAAGAUCCAAAACCCAAUUAUUAAAAAGAAAAAGAAAAAGUAAGGAUCUUGUUUGACUCUAAUAAAAUAGUUUUAACCAAGAAUGAUGCAUUUGUGGGGAAGGGCUAUUGUAAUAAGGGUUUAUUUAUGUUGAAUGUUUAUGAUAUUAUCAAUAAUAAUGCAUCUUCUUCUUUUUCUGCUUACAUAGUUGAUUCUUGUGAUAUUUGGCAUGGUAGACUAGGACAUGUGAACUUUUCAUAUAUGAAGAAAAUGGUUGAAUUGAGUUUAAUCCCUAAAUUGUCCUUAGAAAACCAUGGAAAAUGUGAAUCUUGUGUAGAAUCUAAAACCACAAAGAAAUCUUGCAAAUCAGUUGAAAGAGAAUCAAAUGUACUAAGUUUAAUACACAGUGACUUAGGAGACCUAAAAAAUACAAUGACUAGAGGUGGUAAACGAUUCUACAUAACUUUCAUAGAUGACUACUCAAGGUAUACAAGGGUAUAUCUUUUGAGAAACAAAGAUGAAGCAAGAUAUGCUUUCAUCAAGUACAAAAAUGAAGUGGAAAAUCAACUAAGUAAGAAAAUUAAAAGACUUAGAACUGAUAGGGGAAGAUAGUAUGAGUCCAACCUCUUUAAUUCUUUUUGUGAAGAUCAUGAGAUCAUUCACAAAAAUACUCCUCCUUAUUCUCUUGAGUCUAAUGGAGUAGCAGAAAGGAAAAAUAAGACCUUAAAAGAAAUUAUGAAUGCAAUGUUGGUAAGUUCAGGAGCACCCUUGAACUUAGGGGGGAAGCUAUCCUAUCUGCAUGUCAUAUUCAAAAUAGAAUACCUUAUAAGAAAACUGGAAAAACUCCUUAUGAGUUGUGGAAGGGUUAUGCACCUAAUAUAGCAUACCUGAAAGUGUGGGGGUGUUUAGCUAAAGUUCUUUUCCCUGAACCUAAAAAAUGAAAACUAGGUCUUAAAACCUUUGAUGCAAUGUUCAUUAGCUAUGCUGAGAAUAGUGCGACAUAUAAGUUUCUUGUUACUAAGUCAGAAAACAGUCUUGUAGAUGUCAAUACUAUUAUGGAAACAAAGAAUGCAGAUUUCUUUGAAAACAUCUUUCCUAUGAAACUAAAUGGUGAACAACAAGUUUAGAAAACAAGUAGAGACAAGUCUAUUGAACCUUCUGAAUUUGAACCUAGAAGGAGUAAAAGUGAUAGGAAAGAAACAAACCUUGGAGAUGGUUUCUACACCUUCCUAAUAGAUGAGGACCUUAAUCCUACAAAGAAGCUAUAACUUUUCCUAAUGCGCCAUUUUGGAAAGAGGCCAUUAACAGUGAAAUCGAAUCAAUCAUGUAUAACCAUACGGGGAGUUAGUAGAUUUACCUCCUGGUACAAAGACUAUUGGUUGUAAGUGGAUCUUUAAAAGAAAGUUAAAAUAAGAUGGGUCCAUAGAGAAGUAUAAAGCUCAUUUAGUUGCCAAAGGCUUUAAACAAAGGAAAGAUGUAGAUUACUUUGACAACUUUGCCCUUGUGAAUACAAUAGCAUCAAGUAGAGUAUUGAUCACUCUAGCUUCCAUUCAUAAUUUGGUUAUACACCAAAUGGAUGUUAAGAUUGCAUUCUUGAAUGGGGAUUUGGAAGUGGAAAUUUAUAUGGAACAACUUGAGGGUCGUGUAGUUCCAGCGAAGGAGAAAAAGGUGUGUAAGUUGGUUAAAUCACUAUAUGGGUUAAAACAAGCUCCCAAACAGUGGCACAACAAGUUUGAUCAUGUGUUAGUAACUAAUGGAUAUUCCAUUAAUGAUGCUUAUAAGUGUAUCUACAGUAAGUAUGAGGAUAACACAUGUGUAGUCAUCUGCCUUUAUGUUGAUGACAUGCUGAUCUUUGGAACUAGCCUAGAGGUUGUGUGUGAGACCAAGAAAUUCCUAGGUCCUAAGUUUGAUAUGAAAGACCUAGGAGAGGCAGAGGUGAUUUUAGGAAUUAAAAUAACUAGAACACCUAAUGAGCUUAAACUUUCUCAAGAGCACUAUGUAGAAAAGAUCCUAAGGAAGUUUGAACGCUUUGAUUGUAAACUAGUGUCAACUCCUUAUGAUCCCAGCUCACUACUGAAGAAAAAUAAAGAACAUAGUGUUGCCCAAAUAGAGCAUGCUCAGAUCAUAGGGGACCUAAUGUACUUGAUGAACUGUACUAGACCUAACAUUGCUUAUGCAAUAGGUAGAUUGAGUCGAUACACCCAAAGUCCUAAUCAGGACCAUUGGACUAUUGUUCGUAGAGUCCUUAAGUAUUUGAGAGGCACCAUUAGUGAUUUAGUGGAUUUCCAAGUGUCCUUGAAGGAUUUAGUGAUGCAAAUUAGAUCUCGGAUUCAGAUGUGAUGAAAUCCACUAGUGGAUAUGUUUUCAUAUUUGGUGGAAGUAUAGUUUCUUGGAAGUUUACCAAGCAAACUUGCAUUACUCGGUAUACUAUGGAGGUUAAGUUAAUUGCCUUAGAAAAGACAAGUUUUGAGGCUGAGUGGCUUGAAAACCUCUUAGCAGAUAUCCCUUUAUGGACGAGACAAACCUCGCCUGUGUCUAUGCGUUGUGAUAGCCAAGCUACAAUUGCUAAGGCUAAGAGUAAAAUAUUUAAUGGGAAGAAUAGGCAUAUAUGGCUAAGGCACAAUAUUGUGCGGUAGCUUCUUGAAACGAAUUUGUGAGGUCAGAGUUGAAUUUGGUCGAUCCUUUGACCAAACCACUAAAUAAGAAACUAGUGGAAGAAACAUUGAGGGGGAUGGGGCUUAUGCCUAUUACAGAAGUUAAGAGUGGUGGUAACCCAACCUAUUAGAAUGGAAAUUCCAUGAAGUAGGUUCAUAUGGGUAAUAACAAAUCACUUGUUGACUUGAGGUGCUAUAUCAACUCUAAUUGUAUGAGGGUCUAUCCCUAUGGUGUAGAUAGAGCGUAUUUUGCAUUGAUUAAGGUUGAGUGUUUACUCUUAAUGAAUACCAUAUUCCUUAUGGAUGGUAUGUUUAAAUGCAUAACAUACUUGAUGGAUUCACCUAUAUGAGAGUGGAGCCGGGGCCGCUUCCUAUGAGAACUUAGGUAGUUUCUCUAGAACUCUCAUGAAUAUCCAGGUAGGGCGCAUGGCCUAUUUGUGCCAACCCAUUUUGUACAACUCGUAGUGUAAUUGAGAAAACCAAUGUGGAUAAAAGUUCAUUGAGUUACAUCAAGAAACACUGGUUCAUAGAAAUUUAUUUUCACCCUGUUUUGUGAUUCAAUACCUAUUUGUCUUAAGACUAGUUCAUAGCCUUUGGGUACCAGUACUAAUGCAUUGGAUUUUUUUUCCUCAAAAAAUAAAUAAAUAAAUAAAUAAUCACGUUUACACUUUGUGGGGGAUUGUAGGAAAAGUGUAAAUAAUUUUUAUUUUUAUUUUAUUUUAUUCUAUUAGUCUUAUAUUUUUGGGAAGAGUCCUAUUGGGAUUGUACUAGUGGAGUCCCAUUCCUUUUAUAAGUAGAAUCCCCUUCCACUCUGAGUCAUGCUCUGAUUACAAGUAGAUUCCCAUUGGGACUAUGUUAGUGGCCUAUAAAAGCAGGUCACCCCUCGCUCUCUAUAUACCAAUACCAAUUUUUUAGAGAAUUUUUUUAGAGAGUUUUUCAAAUAUUCUUUUCAUACAUCUAUCUAGACGAAUUUUUUCAAAAACCCGAGCUGUACACAUCUCGCUUACAAAGUGCACCCAAGGCAAGAGCUGGGUGUUGAAUCCUGGAGGUAGACCACUGGUACCUUAGUGCACCGAAUUUGUCUUCGAGGAGGGUGGAUCUAUUUCAAAGACAAUGUUUGCCACACCUCAACCGACAAGGCGGCACAACGUGCACAACCAUUUUUUGAUUUUUCUUUGGGAAUUUUGCUUUGUUUAGGAACUUUGCUAAAAUGGGCACUUGACCUUGAUGAACAUUUUUCCUAGAUGGACACUCGGCCUUGGUGGGCAUUUUACCUAGAUGGGUGCUUGGCCUUGAUGGACAUUUUGCCUGGAUAGGCACUUGUUCUUGAUAGGUAUUUGCUUAGAUGGGCAUGUCACCUUGUUGGGCACUUGGCCUUGAUAGACAUAUCAUCUAGAUGGGCAUUUUGCCUUGAUGGGCACUUGGCUUUUAUGAGCAUUUUGCCUAGAUGGGUAUUUUACCUUCUUUGAUCUUUCAUAGGUUGGAACUCUAUAGGUGGUGGGGUUGUGUUUUGGGUUGUAUUUUCCAGGCACACAUGUGUAGGGGUAGGGAAAUGCUGCAUUUCCUCCUGGUUUUAGCUCUAGAUGUGCUUAUUGCCAUGCACACAUGUAAGUAUUGUUCUGCUUCUUCUUCUUGUGUUUAAGGGUAAGUUGAGUUUUUUUUCGUACUCUUACAUUUUCUCUCCAUCUUUCUUUGUCUUUAUUUUGUUGUGCAGAUGAAGUGUGGCAUCAAGGAUUUUAGUAGGCGGAAAGGUGAGCUUCACUACCACGUUGCUGAAACUGACCAACUGAGGUAAGUCAGGUACUUUUUUUGCAGCUAAAGCUUUUGGUUGGGUGCUUUCUUGGCACUUGACGAUUUGACCGAGUGCUUCUUGGAACCUAAGGCUAUGGUCGGGUGCUGUUCGGCACCUAAGACUUUUUGGUUGAGUGCUUUUUUGGCACUUAAGGCUUUGUUGGGCUCUAUGCUUGGCUGGGUACUACUUAGGCACCCUAGGCUUUGUUGGGCACUAGGCCCAACUGGAUGCCACUUAGGCACCUUAGGCUUUAUUGGGCUUUAAGCCUGGUUAGGUGCUACUUGGGCACCGUAGGCUUUGUUGAGUGCUAGGCCUAGCUAAGUGCUACUUGGGCACCCUAGGCUUUAUUGGGCUUUAAGGUUGGUCAGGUGCUACUUGGGAACCUUAGGCUUUGUUGUGCUCUAGGCCCAACUAGGUGCCACUUUGACACCUUAGGCUUUAUUGGGCUCUAAGCCUGGUUAAGUGCGACUUGGGCACCUUAGGCUUUAUUGGGCACCCUAGGCUUUAUUGGGCUCUAAGCUUGGUCGGGUGAUAUUGGGCACCUUAGGCUUUAUUGGGCUUUGGACUUAGCCAGGUGCUACUUAGGCACCUUAGGCUUUGUUGGGCUCUAGGUCUGGUCGGGUGCUACUUGGGCACCCUAGGCUUUAUUGGGCUUUAGCCUUGGCUGGGUGCUACUUGUGCACCUUUGACUUUGUUAUGCUCUGGCCCUGAUCAGGUGCUACUUGGGCACUUUAGGCUUUGUUAAGCUCUAGGCUUGGCCGGGUGCUACUUAGACACCUUAGGCUUUUAAAGUCUAAUGCUUCUUUAUACCUAAGGUUUUUUUUUUUUUUUUUUUUUUUUUUUUUUUUUUUUUUUUGCGGUCAUGCGAUGCGUAACAUAUUUGAUUUGAAAAAUACAACAGUUGACGAUAUUGCUUCCCCAUUUGGGGAUCUUUGCUUUUAGAUGGAUUAGGCCAUUUGGUAAGAGUAGGAAGUUCUUCUUUGGUAGAUCCACCAGCGCCUCUUUGUCCACUGAUAGUGUCUAGGCAGUUGCAUUGAGUCAGGCCACCAAGAUCUAGUUCUCCCUUUUGAUUCGGUUAACAAGUCUUCUCAGUUUGUCCAACUACCUUCGAUACUUGUUAGCUACGGUUCAGUUGUUUGUUGUGGCCACUCAUAAGUUGUUGGGAUGACACUCUCACCAUCAACAUAGUUAGCUGCCAAUGUAGUCACCAUGGUUGGCUUUUGUUUCAUUCCCAUAGAUGAUGCCAAUUGUUGGUGCACAAUCUUUCUAGAUGUGAUGAUUUGGUGACUAUCCGGGUCGCUAUCCAAUCUUCUAUUGUCACCUCCUCUAUUGGUGGGUGUCUUGGUUCUCUAGGAAAAUGAUAUUUUUUUUCCUUGUUCUUCUUUCUCCUUUAUAGGUUAGAGUUAGACGUUGGAGGUUGUGUGGAGUACACGAUUAGCUUGGCAGGUUUGUGUUAGGCAGUGUGUGGUCGACUAUCCCUAACGCUUCAUGUUGAUGUGACAAGAUGAUGUUUUCCUUAGAGAUUUGUUCCUCAUACAUGUCUUGUUGUUGCCUUUGGUAUUCAUGCCACAUGAUCCAUGUUGGCAGCCUAAAAACUUCUUCCCAGUGACCAAUUUUUUAGUUCUUCUAGGAUCAGUUGGAGUGGGCUCUCGGAUCACUAUAGGUUUAAAUAGAGUCGGGAUGACUUCUCGAUCGGGAGACAAUAUUCAGCCGAUACAACAUCCGGGUACCCCUUCUUGGCAAAAUUCGGCACCCUCAGGAGGCAGCUUUUAUAGCGAAAUCUGCCACCCCCGACCCGAGUAAGCAGGUAGACCCACAGGUUGGCUGGCUUCUAUGGUUUGUACCUCCAAUUAUAAUGGAAGUAUAAAUUUUAAAAAGAUUCAGUGAUUGUAGGAUUCAAUUCUAAUGCUCUUAUAGUAGCCAAGGGUCCUCGGACUCAUGGUAGCACACAGACAUGUCCUCUUCUAUCUAUGCAAAUAGUCAUGCAAAAUACAAAUAUUCCCUCAUACAUUCUUAUAGUUUUACAUGUAUAUGAAUUUAAUUAUUUUAUGUUCUGACUAGUGAGUAGAAAGUGAGUUAAGGUCUCCGACAACAAGGUCUCCAAGCAACCAUAUUUCCCCAUUUUAACCUCGCUACUGCCAUUGAUGCGGUAGUAGAGUAUAACUGGCACAUAUAGAUAUGCCAGAAGAGCAAUCGAGAGCAGAUAGCUUCAAAUUCUGAAUGUGAGGUUCAGUUGGAGACUGGUUUUAUUAGCCUUUUAGAUAUGAUUUGAACCUCUAUUUUAGACAAGAACUUGGAGCUUCUGAAUAUAUGUAGUACAACUCCUUUGGUCAUGUAUAUAUGUGCAUAUUGCGUUGAGAUAGACAACAUACAAUCACUUGGCAACACAAUAUUAAAACUUUCAGAAUAUCACAAAAUUUGAUUGAUGUCAAAGACUCAUUCUGGACAUUUAGGAUAGGAGGUUACAAUAAAGCCAUUAACUGUACACAUAAGUUCAUUUGCAAGAAUUGGGAACCAAUUUAGAAGGUCAAGUAUAUUCGCUGUCAACAAGAAUGACGCCCUCCGAUUUAAGAUCUCUACUGAGGAGGAACCCAGUUUGAUCAAGAUUCUAGGAUCAAACAACAGAGUCAAAGUCAAAUCAAGAGCAACGUUCCAACUUGUCAUGAAGACCAAGAAUAGUAAUUGCUUUUGAGCAAGCAGUGAAAUUAUUUGCAAUCAGACAAUCAUCUUCUUCUUCAAGAAAUGCUGUAAUGAAAUUCUUACCAGUUGUGUCUGAUUCUUCGAAACAUGAAGUUAGCAAACAGAUUGUUCAUAUAUAAUGUCAGUUGGCAUAAAUGUAGUGUUCAAUCACCAAGCCACAAAGAUGAUACAACAGAACAGUUGCAGCAGGAAAACUUGGUUGUUUAUUCAAAAUCAAGUAAAUCUCUAGGUCCCUCAUACCACGAUUGCUCCCAAUAUUUAGGUCUUGGCGUAGACAAUUCCUUUCGUGUCUAUGUGGACAGAACAAUGCUUGGUGUUCUAGUUGUUGUCUUUCACCAUGGUCUAUAGAAAAAAUGUCCAGAAAAACAACUAAUGAUCAGUAGAAGUGUAAAAGGGAAGAAAGAAAACUACUGAUAGAUUGGAUCAUGACAGAUAUUUAUUUUUCCUAAAAGAAUGUAAAUGUAUGGUUGCUCUUUGAGUACAGCUCUCUACAGCACAAAAAUAAGGCAAUCAAAUGAAACAAACCAAGAAAACAACAAUAUUAAAAGAGUUAUGAAAUAUCACCAGAUGAGAUCCAACAGUAAAUUAAGAAACUUUAUAUAAUCUUGUUUACCUUAGGGCCAUGUCUGGAGGAGUUCCAAUUGUAGGCCUAGGGCCAAUGUUGAUAGGCACAUGCCCAGAUCUUAGACACCCUCAAGAUGAACAGUAGCAGCUACUCUAGGCGCUCCUACUGCACAGGCAAAAAACAAGUUAGUCAAUGUUUCUUGGCUAUUGGCUUUGGCUUGGACCUUGGUGGUUAUGUCAAUUUUAGAUAAAUAUGUUAAUAAUCCAAUGACUAUACUCCAAGAUUGAUGAUAUAUAUGCAAUAUAUCAAUUUGGAAAUGUCGAUAUAAACAUUUAAGGAAUUUAAAUUAGUCAAUUUUCAACAAUCUAGCAUUCAAAAGUGUACAAAAUGGUUAUAACUUGAAAGUUUGAAUAUAAACUGAGGUACAAUAUUCCUAUAGGCUCAAGUCUCCCUAGAACAAGGCAUCACAUCACAUAUUUAUGUGGCCUUAUGUUUGAGGUAAGCACCUUAUCUAUUGGCGAGUUCAUCAAUAAUAAGCUUUUUGCAAGAAAUUGGAGACCUAAAAUUACUCUAAUACUUCUUUUAUUGAACAUUAAAUUUUCUUAAAAGUGUUAUCGAUUAUCAAACAUUUAUAUCAAUGGUGGAAACUAGUUUGCUACCAAAGUGAAGGUCAAAGUCCUAAUUAUCAUUUCACUAAACAAUGUAAUAUAGUAUUAUACAAUUAUUGCUUUUAAAAGAAAAUUUACAAGCUAACUAGCGAAAUUUAUGAUUAUACCUUUUUCCGACUUCACUCACGCCAUUGAGCUUUAUAAUUUGAUGAAACAAGCCUAAAUCAAAAUUAUACAAAAAAAAAUAAAGAAUUGGAGAAAACAAACUUGUAAGCACUAAAUUUUGUACUUUAAAAGAGGAAAUAGGAUGCCAAUUGUAGGUUUAAUUUAAAGAAACCUUAAAAAAAUAUUUUUAAAAUUAUAGGAAAACCCCCAUACCUUAGAAAAGAUUGGGGCGAACAGUCUACCUUUUGGCGAUGUUCACAUCUUGAGAGGAAUGACUUCUUUCUUAGUAGAUCUGAUGAUGGUGUUGAUCUUUGGGAAGAGAUGAUUAGAAGGCUACGUUGAAUUUUAGUGAGUGAGAGAGAAAGCAACACCCAAAACCCUAAAGCAAAAAAGGAAUUAAUAACUUAAAUAGAUUCCAUUUUUUCCUUAUGACAUGUCUACCUUAGUAAGGUUUUUAUGGCAGUGAUACCAUUUGGAUAAUUAAGUCAUUGAUUUUGAUGGAUCUUUUCCAUUUGAAUUUUUAAUAUAUAAACUUAAUCUUUUUACUUGGGGUAAUAUAUUUGGUAUUUUAGGAUUUCCUUUUUAAUAAUAUGCUUUUAGUAGAUGGUUUAACUAUGUCCUAGUGUAAUAAGUAGUCUUGCAUUACAUUAUCUACUAUGGAGUAGGAGUGUGUUGCUUGUUCAAGGGAUGUAUGGGAAGUUGUUUAUUUGAUGAUAUACUUUCAACACUUAGAGUCACGACUUGAGCUAAUAAGUUUAUCAAGAUCUAAGCAUUGAUGGUGUUGCUACUCUAUUGUAUAGCAAGGAUCCAAUUAGUCACAUUGUAGGACAAAACACUUAUAGACAAUUGAUUCUACUACAUUCAAGAUAUUGUUGCUUAAGGGGAGGUAGAGUCAAAACAAGUAGACAAUUGAUACAACUACACACACAACAUAGAGACAAAACACAUGAAUAAUACUAUGGUUGAAUAAAUUAAUUGGAUGACAUCAAGCUAACAUUGAUCUAGUAUAAUUAUUUGGAGCCUAAAUGAGGGUAUGAUGAGAUGAUAAUUAUUUUGUCAUCAACAUAGUGAACAACAUAAAUUAAAAUCUUGAAAUGUCACCUUAGCCAACCUAGUAGAAAUGAUUCAUCAAAAUAUUUGAAUGUGAGAUCUUAAAUUGGUGUUUGACAAAUAAAUAUGGUAAUAAACAUAUAUUAAGUAUAUAUGAAGUGACCAAGCUGAGAUUUGUAUCAUGUUAUUAUAGGGAAUCCCGAAUCUCUUUGUUCCUUAUCCUAUGAUUAGGCUAGGUACAUGCGAAUCUUUCUAAGUUUUUCUAAAUCGUAUGAACAAUGGAAAAAUUGUGUUUUAAAAUAAUAACAAGAUUUAGAAUUUGCAUUAGAAAACAUUACCUUAGAUUUGGAUGUUCCCAAAUCUAAUUCACGUAGUAAAGGAGAAGAUUGAAGUUUUCAGAGGUCUUGAACACCCAAGAUCUUCCACCAGAUGACUUUUCCUUGAUUUUAGAUCUUAAUUGGUGAAGAGGAAGGAAGACUAAAAAGGCUAUGGUUCUCUCUCUCUUUGAAUAGUGAAAAAUGGCUCACUUCAAAAAAGUAAUGAAAACCUUAUUAUUUAAGGGGUAUUUAUUGGGUUCCCUAAUUGGGUGUAAGUGACUUAAGCGUACUAAAGGUUUGAAUCAUUUAAUUUAGCUCAAAAUGAGUCUUAAUUGAUUAAUUAACCUAACAUAGUUAUCUAAUUAAUUAAUUAGCUAAAUUUGGAGACUUUGUUCACUUACCCCUAUGCAACCUUGCAUAAUUACCAAAACACCCUUAUACGUAAAAGUGAACCAAGAGUUGUGUCAUCAAGGUAUAUGAGCUUAGGUGGAGACCAUUGAGACUUAUAGGACAGUACUAGCUACCCCAAAAUCUAAUUUUGAAGUUGAUUUAACAUUUCACUAUAGAGAAUCAAUUGCACUAUAAUACCUUAUGUAAAUAACAAUGAGAUGCUAAGUGGUCGAGCCCAUGACUUAUUAUCCAUUGCAUUCAGUCUCCCUAUGAACUGGUGUUUGUAGUCUAAUAAGGUGAAAACUAUCAACCUUUCAAGACUACCUCUACUAUCUUUGAAUUACAAAUCCUCUUAUUAUGUAUUUAAUUGAUAUAUCUUAAGUCUCCAAGAGUCUAUGUCAAGUUCCAUUUAAGAAACUACUAUGACCAUAGUUUACAUGAACAUACCUCCUUAGGAUCACUUAAGGGGACACUCUGUCUCAAUCCUCUUAGAUUUCAUGGUACUUCUGUUACAAAUACUCAUUGUCAUAGACUUGGAUCAAUAGUGAACCAAUCCAUAAGGAACAUAUCUUACGAUUUCAUUAGUAGGUCAAAGUCACUACUAACUUUAACACAAAUUCUAUAUUCUCUCAAGGUUAAGAGAUAAAACAAUGAAGCAACUUGGUGAAAUCAUGACUAUUUAAUAGCUUUAUGUCAUGAUUCACCAUAAGUCUUGUCUAAUGUGUAACCAUAUGCACUAGUAUACUCACCAUGGAAAACCCAUCCUGAUAACCAAGACCAACCAUUCCUCUAAAUAUGAAGUAGCAUACUAUAACCUCUAAUGGGUUACCUAGGCCUAUGAAUCGGUUGUGAACAAGUCAUUUACUUACAAUGAAUCCAUUUCUUAAAUUUUUUUUGCAACUCUUAAUGCACUCAAGUCCUGUACAAUACAAGAUAUAUAUAUUAAAAUGCUUACAAGGUAUAAUGUAUAGGAUUAGGAUAAAUAAAAGUGAACUAAAAGUUUAUUAAUAAAUAAUAAAAUUUUAAAUUUAUUACAUCGUGUCAUGCUUUUAUGAAACCUUUAAAAUACUAAGAGCAACCUUUCAUAAUCAUGAAUUAAACUUUAGUUUCAACUUCUAUCAAAGGCUAAAUGAGAAAAGCUAUCAUAGAGGAGGCCUCAGCCAAUGGGUAAGAUGCACUGUUAUACCAAACAAUAAGUGGAAAAUACAAUUUUAUUAAUACUUGAGAAAAAAAAAAAGAAAGAAAUAAAAGGAAGAUUUUACACUCAAACCAAGCAUUUAUUUAUAAUGAAGUGCAGUCUCCGUACGCACAUGUGGACUUAUUGGAAAAUCAUACAAAUUAUUGAAGGACGACCUUAGCUAGGCUAACAGUCUCCUAAAUAGGCUAUCUUUUAUAUAUCUUUGCAUUCAUCCAUCUCCUCAUUGUCUUUGAUUUUAGAUGGUGAGGAUGUGAAAGUAACAGGAAGCAGUGGACAAUUGUUCACAGUGAGGCUUAGCACAUCAGCUCUCGAAUAAUGUCCUACCACAUCGAACUGGAACUUUGCUUUAGGAAUCUCUCCACGAACAUCUACAUAUCAAGUGAUCACAAAAAUAUUUCAUCGGUCCAUGAUAAAUAUCAUAGAAUAUCAAGUCUUCGAUAAAACUAAGUUUGCAGUCCUCUUAAACCUAAAGAAUCAACUCAUUUGCCUUAUCUGCAUACUGAAAUAUUUGGAUAUAUAAUUGGAGAAGUUAGGGCCAUACCAAGAUCAGCUGUGAAGAGGCCUUCUCCUUCAUAAUUCGGUCCUGCUAGAAUUUCGCCAUGGGGCGAAAUGAUGACACUACCUCCAGCCCAAACAAUAGAAUCUGGAGUGACAUCUUCUUCUGUAGGACUGUAAAGAUACUCAGGUGGAGGUGGGUAAUCUUUCCUCCGACAGAACUGGAUGGGUGAAAGAACAUAGCAUCCACCCUCAAUAGCGACGUGUCUCAUUGUAGCUACCCAUGUAUCCCCGGAAUCGGCAGUAGGAGCACAAUAUAUCUCAAUACCUAUAGAGAUGUACAUUCGUAUUUUGUGAUCAAUCAAUCCCAUAUCAAAGCCAUAAUGUAUUUCAAGCCUAUUUAUAGGCUAAAACCCUAACAACUUAAAAAAGAGUACUGAAGUAUUUCAAGCCAAACCAUAUUAGUUAGUGAAGAAAAAGACAUACCUUUGCCAUACAUUGAUGUCCUGAAAAGCGGCAUUCUAUUUUCCCAACAAAUGACCGAACCAAGUUUUCCAUAUGGAGUAUCAUAAACUGGAGUAGUCGAGCAAUCUCCGAAACCCCAGAACAGCCGCUCCCAAUAUGUUGGCAUGAGUUUCCUAUGUUUUCCAAGGUAAUUACCUUCAGGAUCAAAGAAGAGAACAGUGCAAUACAAUGUGUAUCCAUCUCUCUCAACAACACCUGUCACUAAGUAGACUUUGUAUUUCGCAGCCAUUGAUGCCAAUCUAUCCACUUCAGGUCCUGAAAAUACAUUAAUAUGAGAUCAAAGAUGAAAUAUGUAAGCUGAUGGCUCAUCACAAAGCAUAAGUAGAUUUUUUUUUUCUUGGUUCAUUCAUCAAACGUGUCUUGUUUCAAUAACUAAUUAAGUGGUUCAGUUCUUUGGCUAUUUAAGGGAGAAAGAGAGAGGUAACUGACCCGGCACAUUAAUGGCAGAAGCAUGGUACUUGCGGAAACUUUCUUUCCCUCUUGGCGACUGGUCGGCGAAAUUGUAUCCCCGGGGAUACCCACCGAUAAAUGCUUCAGGAAACACAACCAGUUGGGAUCCUAGUGCAGCUGCUUCUUUCAAAAACCUCUCAGCCUUAUCUGCUCUCAAAAUCACAUUGCAAGAAUUAAUAAUCCACGACUUAGUAAAUUAAUUGGUUGAAUGGACAGAAUGAAAAUUAACUUCAAGAGAUCCCGAAUGACUUUUUGGUUGCUGAGAAAACUCAAGGAAAAAGAGACCUAGAUGAAACUUGAAACUCUCAUAUUUUCAGCUGUUUUGUAACUAAGAAAAGAGAAACCACCUCAACCCAACUCAUUAAAAUAAUUGUAAAAGCAGUAAUUCCUUGAUUGGCAGCUGAAAAUAUGAUCAGGGUUCAAUCAUCCUUUUCUUUUUUUCAGUCUCUGAGCAACCAAUUAGAUCACAUAUUCCAUUACACAAGUUGAACAAUUGAAAGAAAUGGUACGUUACCUAGAGUGGCAGGAGUAUCAUAAAAGAUACUAGAAGCUUGAACAACGGUGGCUCUAACAGUUGAAGACAUUGCAGAAAUCGUAUGCUUUUUCGUUUCCCUUUUGUUUGAGGAUUCCUUACACAACGUUCAGUAUAUAUAUUGCCCAUGAACAUGAGGUUCUUCUGCCAUUACUUGAACGAGACGAAGAGGCUGUGAAAAGUCUACCUUGGUUUUCUAUAUUCAUUGUGAGCUUUUCUCCUCAUCACAAAUUUUGAAGUUAUCCGCAGACAUUGUGGACCAGCCACAUGACUUGUACAAAUUGAAAAUGACUGUAAGAAAAUGACUCAGCCAAUUCAAGAUAUUUGUCAUUAAAAGAAUAGUCAUUAAAAGCACAAGAUAUUUGUCAUUUUUUUUUUUACAAAAACGACUGAGUCGUACAUAGUGUUAUGGUUAUAGACGCCCAAAAGAAGUCUUUUUGUGCCUUGUAAGAAAACCUUAGCCAAUUCAAGAUGACCACAGAAUCAAAAUAAGUUUUAUCGCUUUCUUUUUUUUCUACAGGUACGAUGAUUAUCUUUGAACGAAAAGAGGGAGCCGCCCACAUGCACAUAAAAAGGGAGUAAUGAGUGAUUCAAUGGCAGCUAUGGUAGAAAAAUAAAAAGGGAACUAUGCUUACCCUCACGUUGAUUCAAGCAAAUAUAUUUUUUAGGAAUUCUAAUUUUCAUAUUUCACCCCAAACACAUAAUCAAUAAAUUUAUUCUUCAAAUAUGUAUUUUAAUAACAACCAAAAUGAGAAUUCUAUAGUUAUCCCUUUUAAAAUCUUUAAUAUGACAAGUCAUCAUUUGAUCUGUUUGAUAUCCUCUCCAUAUCAUGUCUUUGAUAUCCUAACUUUGACAUUUUUUUAUUUAUAUACGCUGAAGUGAAUACACUUUCAUAUUUCUUUUUAUUCUUUUAAUAUUUUCAUAUUUAUUAACUUAGUCAUUUUUUUGAAACAUUAACAUAAAAUUAUAAUAUAUGAUCAAUAACUAAUAAGAACAAAUUAAACAUAAAUAUAAGUACGGAAUGGACAGAAAAUAAAAAAUUUAUCCUACAAAUAAUACACUAUAUAGUUUAAAAUAUUAAUUAUAAUAAUAUAUUUGAUACUUUAGGGUUUAGAUUAAAAAAUUAUGUUUUAUUUUUUAGAGGCUAGGAUAUAGGAUUUCCAUUAACCAAAGAUUUUUUGUAUGAAUCCUAAAUAAAAUGUGUAUUUAUUUUGCAAAUUCUUAUCAUAUAUAAAUAAAAUAAAAUAAAUAUAUUUUUAUCAUAUUAUUUUUAAUUUUUAUUAUUUUGUGUCAAAAUCACAGUCAAUGAUGGUGGUUUUUGUUAUGAUAUAGCUCUUAAAAGGAUGUUAUGAUGCAAUAAAUAUGAAGUUUAUUAUUUAUUUAAUGGUAUUUUGAUUUUACUUUUAUUAAUCUUUAUUUCAUGCAUUUUACCUUAUGAGUAUUCUAGCUUGACAUUUCUUGCACUAUACAUAACUUGGGUGCAUUAAAAAUUGCAUGAAAGAUCCAAGUUAUAGGUUCCUUGCAAGUAAAUGAUUUGUUCACAACCGCUUUGUGAACUUAAGCAAUCCAUUUGAUGUCGUAGUUCACUACCUCUUCAUUAGAGGAAUGAUUUAUCUUGACUACCAAGAUAGAGUUCUCAUGGUGAGUACACUAGUAUGAUGAGUUAUAAUUUAUAAUGUAAGGUUGUUGGGUAGUCAUAACUCACUAAGUUGUUAUAUUGUAUUAUCUUCUCAACCUUGAGAGGAUACUGAACUUGUGCCAAAGUCUAUAAUUGUUUGACCUAUGGGUGAGAUUCUAAAGUGAUUAUAUAUUCCUUACAGAUUGGUCACAGUAGAUAGAAGUCAGUAGUAAUAAGUAUUCUCAAUACAAACAUCACGAUAUCUCAUGGAAUUUGAGAUAGUGUUGGGUCAUAAUAAGGACAUGUGAUCAUGAAAUCUAUGGUCGCAUUAAUUCUUUAAAUGAAAUUUGAUAUAUGCUUUUGUGAGUUAGAGUAUGCUAGUUGAUCAUAUAAUAAGAGAAUAUGUGACUCAAGAAUGGUAUAGGUAAUCUUGAAAGGCAAAUAUCUUUCACCUUAUUAGAUUAUAAACACUAAUUCCUGGGGAGACUAUAUGCAAUAGAUAGCAGGUCACGAACUUAAGCACUUUGUGUCUUGUUGUAAUACACAUAGGGUAUUGAAGUGUAGUUGACUUUCUAUAGUAAGAUGUUGAGUCAAUUUUAAAAUUUGAUUAUAAGGGAGCUAGUACUAUCCUAUGGGUCUUAGCAGUCCUUGCUCAAGUUCAUAUAUCUCAAUGGCAUGGUUUAUGAGGGUUGGAUUAACUCAUGAUUCACUUAUGUGCAUAAGGCUGUUUUGGCAAGUAUGCAUGAUUACAUAGGAGUUUGUUGGGACAAAACCUUAUAAAGUAUGACAUGAUGUAAUAGAUUUAGUUUCAUUAAUAAAUUUAUUUAUUUACUAUUCUAGUUCCCUUGUAUUAUCCCAUUGGCAUUAAUUGGUUAUCAAAGUAUUUACACCCAUAUCACUUGCAUUGUACAUGACUUAGGUGUAUUUAGAGUUGACCAAAAAAUCCAAGUCAUGGGUUCUUUGCAAGGUAAUAAAUAGUUUAUAGUAGGUUCAUGGAUUUGAGCAAUUUAAUAGAGACUAUAGUGUACUACUUCCCAAUUGGAGAGAUGACUAGUCUUAGUCACCGAGAUGACUUUCCCAUGAUGAGUGCAAUAAUGUGUAUAGUUACACAUUGGACAUGACCUAUGGUGAAUCAUGACAUUAAUUGUUGGGUAGUCAUGAUUCACCAUGAUACUAGAUUGUAUAAACUCUCAACCUUGAGAAAAUAUUGAGUUUAUGCUAAAAUCAACAAGAAGCUUUUAUCUAUGGGUGAGAUCCUAAUGUGGUCAUAUAUUCCUUACAAAUUAGGUUACAGUUGAUGAAGGUUGGUGGCAACAGGUAUUCUUAAUAGAGACAACAUAAUAUCUUAUGAGAUUAAGACAACGUGUCUCUUGGGUGAUCCUAAAGACAUGUGAUCAAGAUGACUAUGACCAUAGUAAUUCCUUUAGUAGAAUUUGACAUAUGCUCUUUGUAAGCUAAAGUAUGUAAAUUGAUCAUUAAUAAGAGGAUUUGUAACUCAAGGAUUGGAGAGAUAAUUUUGAAAGGUUGCCAUCACUACCUUGUUAGAUUACAGACACCAGUUCACGGGGAGUUUACAUGCAGUAGAUAGUAGGUCAUAGACCUAAACUUUUCCUUAUUGUAAUUAUAUAGGAUAUUGGAGUGUAGUUGACUUUCUUUAGUAAGGUGUUAAGUUAACCUUAGAAUUGGAUUCAAAGCGAGCUAGCAUUUUCCUAUAGGUUCCAAUGGUCCCUGCUCAAUCUCUCAUUUAAUGGUGUCACAUUUGUUUAAGGUAUUUUAGGUUUGUAGUUAACAAGUGUGCAUUAGGGGGAAUUUAAUAAAAAUACAAGGUUGGACUAGAUAUUGUGAAUAGACUUUCUAGAUUGGCCUAAUUUAUUAAUGGAUUCCAAUAUGGCUAAUUAAUUAAUUAGGAUCUAAGUGAGUUAAAUUAGGUAACCUAAGCCCACUUUAGGCUUAAGUCACUAAAGUUCACAAGGAAGCUUAUAAAUAACUAUUUAAAGCUUAUUGGGUUUUAUGAGUAACUUAAGCUUGCCUUGGGUUUGGGUAAGUUAUCAUAACCUAAAAAAGUUCUUAAUUGAGCGCUUAGAUUAAUCAAUUAGCUUAGUCCAGAAAUACCUUUCACCAACUCUAUUGGAAACUUUGAAUUACUCCAUUUCAUGAUCUAGGAUCAAAUAGGGUGCAUGCAACUAUCUUUAGGUUUUUCUAGAUCUAAUGCACUAGAAAAAUAUGGAUAUAAAAUCCAUAAAAUGUACUAGAUUUAUAGAUUAAAACUCAUACCUAUGAUUUCAAUGUUUCUAAAUUAAAUCCAAUCCCUAAAAGAUAUCAAAGAUGUUUUAAAAGUCAUCUAUCAAACAAUUUUCCACCCAAUCUCUCCCUCCACAAAUAGACCCUAGCACAAAAAAAGGUGAAUGCUGGAAUUUUCGUCAAUUAUUGGAUCAAAACAAAAUUUAUAACCUAAUUCACUAUUCUAUAGCAGCUUGUACCCGAUCAAAAAGUGGUUUUAGUACAAACUAUUGUAGUAUAGUGGUUUUUAGGUGUCGUCCACUAGGAUGGAUUGUUCUCGGUAAUUAAGGCUUGAAUGAGAUGAUAAGAAAUUAUUGCAAUCAAGUGAAAAUGAUUUGACAAUUCAUGAUAAAAGUUCAACAUAACAAUGAUUUCAAAUUUAGAGGAAAAUGAAGGGUAAAAGAGAAGAAAAUUAAUAGAAGAUGAAAUUCUUGGAGGUAGGAUUUUCUAGAAAAAAAUUUCCACGGUGAAUAGAUGUUGAGAUCUAAUUUUCAUCAAGUUAGAUUGAAAACCUAAAUUUUCAUCUAAACCAAUUUUUGAUUUAGCUUUAGGUCUAGAUCUAAUUUCUCUUCAAAUUAGGUCAUUUAAUCCAAGAGAUCAAUUCAAAUUAUAUAUUCAAUUCAUCUUAAACUAUCUUCCAAUGAUUCACAUAAUGCAACUAUUCAAUCUCAUCAAAUCUAGCUUUAAGAAUUUGAUGAAUCUACCUAGCUUGCAUUGUAGUAAUCAUCCAAGACAAUUUGAAGAGAAAAAUCCUCAAAUUUCAAUUAAUCAAUCAAUUGGAUCAAAUUACCUUUUCAAUUCAAGCUCAUUUCUCUAAUUCACCAUAGAUUUUGCCUCUAGAUCCUCCCUCCUUUGAGAAAAAUGAGAUUUAGCCACUCAUGCUUGGAGAUUUUGCCUCACAAAACAUUUUUGGCUAGCGAGAAAAUGAAGGAAAGUGGAAAAUUCUAGAGAAAGAGAAAAUAUGGAAAAUUCUACAAUUAGAAAAUGUCUAAUUUUUUUUGAAAAUGAGUAAAUCAAGUUUCUAUUUAUAGGCCAAGGUCAAGAGGACACUUGGCAUCAUCUAAGAGGUCUUUUAAAGGCUUCUUCAUCAAGAAAUUUGGAGUUUAGUAAUAAAAUGUCCAUUUCGCAAGAGAUCCAGCACUUUCACACGAGCUCCAUCAAUUUCGCAUGAGUGUGCGAAGUGGAAAAUGCAUCAGCACCAAUUUCGCCUUCUUAGAGCAUUUCGCAUGACUGUGCGAAAUUUUCGCAUGGUCGUGCAAAAUCAGCUUCAAGAUUUCCCUUUGAGCUGUAGCCAAAAUUGCCUUCUGGUCCAUUUCAAUUUUAUACUCUGUGUUUUUGGGAUGAAUGACAUGUGAAAGUUGGAAUUUGCUAAAAAAAUAUACAUAUAUUUUUUUGAGUUAAUGUUUGUAAGCAUAAUUCUCCCAAAAACCGGUCAUGCUUCAUCAUAUUGUAUGUUUGUUUUUUUUUAUAAUGUGUGGUUAUUCAUCUUUAUAUUUGUGUAAUGGAUUGAUAUCUAUAAAUUAAGAGUAUCAAUUGAUAGGUAGAUGAAUCAAUUGAUUGGGCAUCUAAGAGUCUUAUGUGUAGAAGACUAAAAUUAUAAAUGGGGAGUUAGAAAACUUUUCAUUUAUAUGAAUAGGGUGUUACAAUUUUUGUAAUCCUAUCAUUAUGAGAUUUAAUUUGUAUAUAAAGUUUAUGAGUAAUGGAGGAAGAUGGAAAAGUAUAACCUAUGCAAUUAUAUAAAUGCAUUCAAGUUGGUAACCCACAAUUAUCCAUUAAUUUGUACAUAAUGUUUGUAAAUAAUGAAUAUAACUCCCGUGUAGUCUUUGAUGCAUGAGAAGACUAAGAGAUAUAAAUCUCUUUUAUAAGAUCAAGAUCCUAAGUCAUACUCUCAUUCUUAUGUCUUUUUGUUAUUUUACUUAUAACAACAUAUAACACACAAGUGACCCGUCUACUAUAUGAGAGUAGUGAGUUGAAGAUCUUGAGCAAAACAAUUCACAAGAUGACUCAAGCUCACUUCAAAAGUAUUAUCAAUAUCAUGGAUGAAGGUAAAAAUAUGAUCAUUAUAUUAUCAUUGCUUUAGCAUUUAUAUCUAUUAUGUUUUAUGCAUCCAAAAUUGAUUUUCCAAAAUAAUUGUUUUCACAUAAAGUUUAGUUAACAUGUACUUCUAUUUUAAAAUUUUAAAAUUUUAAAAUAAAUUUGCAGAAAUCACUUUUAAAUGUUUUUUUAUAAAAAAAAAUUUAAAAUAUGAAAGAAUCACAUAUUUUUUCAACUUUGAAAAAUAGACCUAAUAAACAUAUUUAACAUUUAUAGCAAUUAAAAAUUAAUUAAUAUUUUUUAAAAAAAAAUUAAAUAAAAGCAAUGGUGUAUCCAAAUAAUACCUUAUUCACCCAAUUUAGUUAUCAUAUGCCUUUAGUACCGAAGUGGCUGACUAAAUUUUUUCUCAAGGUAUAAUAAUGCUAAAAGAUCUUUAACCAAAACAUGGACUUCACUCUUAUUUCUUCCUACCACUUUAAUUUCACCCAACUUCACCUAUAGAAGCUCAUUCAUGUCUUAUCUUGUUUGUCUAGUUUGAACCUCAUGUUGCUCAAGUCCCAAAAGGAAUAAAAUUUCAUUCAGAAUAUAAUUAUGCACAAAAUCCUCAUUAGGGUUAGAGUUUGCUCCUUCAUUAAUUAAUUAUAAUGGUUUAGGGUCAGAAUAACAUACUUUAUUAUGUUAAAGUAUCCUAAACUUUGUUAGCAAACACAUAUGGCUGAAAGCGAAGAAUGAUCAAGAGUCCAAGUACUAACAAAGGGCACUUAUGAACCAUAGGUUGAGGAAAGUGGCUUGAGCCCAAGCUUGGGGCUUAGGUUAUUUUUUGUUUAUGCAAUACUUAAAUCCAAACUUAAAGGUGACAUUAGAAACAUAUUUCAAUCUCAUAUUUUAUCCUCUUAACUAUUGGACCUAAUUGCACUCGACAUGGAACUUGUUUAUGCAUUUUGGGAAUCACAUGCAUUUUAGUCCCAAAAUAGCUAUGCAACUUUUUUUUCCACCUAAUUAAGUUCAAAAUUAAGGGGGUGUUUGGUAAAACUUAAUACCUUUUACUAAUGACUUAAAUUGACUUUAAGUUAAAUUAUAUUUAACUUGCUAACUUAAAACUUAUUAUUUAAUUCUUACUUCAAGUAUUAAGGUUGUUUAAUAAAAUUAAUUUAAAACAUAUUUUAAAUCAUCAAAUUGAUAUAUUAUCCUCAUAAAUUAUAACUAGAGUAUAAGAGGUUGAGUGACAAUGAAGGUCGUGGAGUAGUAAAGAAAAUUGUGGAGGUAACUAGGAUAAAUGAGAAUAAAAAAGUAGAAUGAAAAUAUAAAUUUUAAAAUAAGUUAAUUGGUUUUACUUUUUCUUAAAAUUAUUUUUGAUUUUAAGUCAUACCAUUAAAUUAUUUUAAUAAACAUAAUUUACUUAAUAACUUAAAUUAAAUUAUUAAGUUGUUAAUUUACCAAACACCUACUAAUUUUCAAAUUCUAAGUUUAGCUUUGCUUUGCAGUGAAUGCAUUUAGGAUUAUCAAAGAGGUCAUCAAGGGUUUCAAACAUAUUUUAUUGCUCAACUUCUCGAAGAGGGACUUCAGAAGAGAAGAUUCCAUAAUUCUAGUUUUGUAUGCGAUUGUAUGUAUCCUACCACAUGGAGACGAUUCCUCAGCAUGCUGAUUUAUUAUUAAGUUCAUGUGAAUUACGUAUGGAAUUCCAAUUGAUGUGAACAUAAAAUUAAUUGAAUUAUGUGACAUUUUUUUUACGCAGAAUAAAACAUAUACAGUUGGAAGAUAUCUCGAGAUUCUGAUUUUAUAUCUGGCCCUCAAAAUUCUAUUUCACUGUCAGGUUGUGGACGUUCCACCCAGCUGGAGCAGAUCCCUUGGCAUGCUGAUAUGCCAACUAUUGAAAAGUCUGCACCCAUUUUCUAUAUUCAUGAGCUUUUCUCCUGUUCGAAUUAGUUUUGAAGUUAUCUACAGACAUGACUUGUACAAAUUGAAAAGUUUUAAUUAGGGCAGCAAAAGUAAUCCCUUCAAUUUUAUUAUUAUUGUUAUUAUUAUUACCUUAUAAAAAGAAUUUACCCAAUCAAAAGUGAUCGCAUAGUCAAAAUAGAUUUUAUUUUUUCUUAUCUUACAAUAAUAUAAAAAAAUAUAUAUAUACUUUCAAUCAAUGUCUCAUAUUUCUAACACGUACGCGCUCUAGAAUUUCUCGAAUUGUAGUCUAGAGUGUCAACUUUUAGUGUUUGAUCAAAAAGGCCAUAAACAAAUAUAUGAAAAAAGUAAUCAACAAGCAGAGGAUUCUUUUUGAAUAAAAAAGACCCACUUACAAGCAUGGAUUAUAAAUUGUCUUCAGUUGCGGCUGAAACUUUCUAUAUGACUUUAAAGAAAAAAGAGGUCAUAAAUAGAUAGCUGAGAACAAGUUGAGGGAUUCAAAGGCAGCUAUGGUAUAAAUAUUGUUUUAUAAAUUAAACCUUUUGUACCGCCUCUACAAAGGAACACAAAAUUGAGAGAUUCAAAGGCAGCUAUGGUAUAAAUAUUGUUUCAUAAAUUACUUUUCAAAUUUAAUUUGAUAGCAAAAAUUUAAAAUAUAAAAGUAUAAAAAAUUUGUUUCAUUCCCAAAAUUUUUGCAAAUAAAAUUUAAAGUAAUAAAUUAACACCAUGACUCUUUUCACAUCUUAUUCUCAUUUCUAUCAAAGCAAUGAUAGUAAUUGUCUUAUCUAUAAAUUUUAAAUGAUGUAAGAUCAUUGAAUUUUUAUUUUCUUUUAAACUUCUUGUUAUGUAAUUAUCAAACAUAUUUUUUUAAGACAAGAAAAAAAUUACACCGAACAAAUAGAUUUGAUACUUAGAAUAAUUGAAAACAUAAUUCGUAUUUUCCAUUUUUAAAAAUAAUAAAAGCAAAGGUGUUUCAAAACAAUACCUCAUUUGCUCAAUUAAUUAUCACAUUUCCUAAGUACAAAAGUAGGCAAGUAAAUUUUUGCUCAAGUUACAAUAGUGCUCCAAAUCCUUAUCCAAGAUUUUGAUCCUAUUUCACAAUUGUUUUUUAAAACAGUUUUUUUCUUCUCUACAACAAAAAAAAAAAAAAAACAAGAAAAUGUGUUUGAGAAUUGGAAAAUAAAGUGUUUUCAAAAAAACAUAUGUUAGUUGUUUUUAGUUUUUCUUCAUUAGCUUUUUUGAAGGUUGUUUUUAAAAAUAAUUAUACAAAUAUGAAGAAUUAUUAAAAAUAUAAUUUUAUAGACAAAAGUUAUUUUAAAAUUAUAUGCACGAGUUUUGGAAAGUCUUGCAAAAUAAGCAAAACUAUAGGAAAAAUAUGCAAAUAAAAUUUGUAUUAAAAUCAUUGGGGGCCCCCGCAUUUCGGCUCAUGCGCUUCCACUCGAUGGUGAGCUCGAUUUUUAUUUUGAAAAAUGAUUUAUUAUUUGAAAAAUGACUUGAAGUCGCCACUUAUUUUUGUUUUAUUUUUAAAGGGUAAACAAAAUAAGAAAGAAAACUCUAAAUGUGACUCCUUAUUUGGAAAAGGUGGUCUGUGAAAAACCGGAUCGGGCUCGGGGGUUAGGUUACUUAUUGGGAAGGUACGGUAAAAACCGUAGCACCCCUCUAAGUCCCCAAAAACGGGUCUUUACUAAUGAAAUGAAGCAAUCAUGACAAUUGAUAAGUAAAUCAAUGGAUACCGAAUGAAAAUCGAAACAAAAUACCCAAAUGAAUUUGAGAGACAAAGAACGUACCUGAGUGACGAGCUGAUUUAUUUCAUUGGAAACAAAGGUUAGUGAACAAACACAAAUGAUCGUGUGCAUAUCAUAGAAUAGAACAAAUCAAUCACAUAUAGCAAUCAAAUCAAUCAAUCAUAAAAUCGCAUAUGUUGGGCCCCCACUAAAACCCAUUUAUUUUUGCAUGAAUUAAUUCUGUAAAUUCCAUCACUCGGAAUUAUAGAAUUUAAUUCAUGCUUAUUUUAAAACAUUUAAAAAACAGAGGAGAUGUGAGUAUUGCUCAUCAGAAAAGAAGAUGGCAACAAAGUUUUAUUAAAAAUGGGAUUUUUGGUACCUAAAACUCUAAGGAUGAAAAUUUUGGAGUUGAGAUUAUUUAAAAAGUUAGAAUCUGAAAAAUUAUUUUUAAAAAAAGAUUUAGAAAGUUAUUUUCAAAACCAAAAGGGAGAAAUAGGAGGUGGCAUGUGGCCCAAAGGUGGCCAUGCGGAGGUGGCCAUGCAAAAACAUUUUCUUCUGGGCCAAGGGAGAGACUGCGCUAUAGGGAUCAAUGGUAUUGUUGGGCUUGUCAUAACUCUAACCAGGAUAGGAUCCCAGCCACAUAUAGCUGUAACUAGGUUGCUACAUUGAAAGAGUACCAAGAGAGGCACCCUAGCUUAACGGAGGUCAGGCCUGGUAGCCUUGCGGAGGAUAUCUCUAACCAUUGCCAGAUUUCUGAUAUGAUUCUCACUGAUGACUUCGUUGACCAACUGUUCAGCAAACUCAAUCUGUUCACUGGUACUGCCUAUGUGUGCAAUUCUCUCCAUUGAUAUGUCACCAGAAAGGAAAUGCAAAAGUAUAAACUAGAUACGAGCUCCUGUCUUGGCUUGCAUAUUUCUAAUGAUCUCACCGCCCUUACCAACUAUCAGACCAACCUUGUUGUUUGGUACUUUCAUCACGAGCUGUCCAAACCCAGUCCAACCAAUUAACCUUCAAGAAAUUAUGCCAAACCUCUUUGCUUAUAUCUGUUGUGUCAUUCCAUAAGAAUUGAACGCACCCAUAUGUAAGCACCCGUGAUGUGUCGUCACACUCCAACUGCAAAUUAAAUCGAACAAGACCUUUCAUGGAAGCAUCUCUGACAUCUAAAUGAGACCCUGUCAAACCUUGAAUUAUCUGGAGUUCAUCAAGUGCAUCAUCAAAUGCUCUUCAUUCAGAGUGUCCAACUUAGCAAUAGCUUCAUCAAAAACCUAUUUAUCCAGAUUACAAGCAUGAUCCAGGGGAUUCAGAAUCUUAUAGUAAAAGACGGAGAAGUUAAGUGCAAGCCUCAAGCAGAUAAGACGGGUUGAAGCCAAUUCCACAGCUGCAAUAUCCUACGCUGAUUUUAUAAGCUACGAGAGUGCUCUCCGUCGCCUCUCUCAUCUCGGCUCCGGUCUUGAAUGCUGAUAGAUAACAACGAUAAUCGCUCUUCAUCUUUAAACAAAGCGACUUUGGGUCACUAGCCAUAGCCGAAUGAAUAAGCUACGAAUCCAGCAGACGAAGAGUAUCGUCACAGAUGGAGGAUUGUUGAAACAUAACACGCAUAUAAUGGAAACAGACUCGUGUUGGCUCCUGCCCGCUCCCAAUGGGUAUGGCCCUCAUGCUCAUUGACAUGUUCGAAGACGUCAACAAGCGCACCAUAGACCUUCUGUAGGCAGAGGAUUGGGUUUAAUGGGUUUAGAAAGAAUUUGUGGCAUGUAUGGGUAUGGAAAUAGGUGUGAAUGAUAGCCUUGCAUGCAUGAGGAGUGGUGAAUAGGUUGAAGAGAGUGGGUUUAGAGGAUAGAAAUAUGGGUAUAGUUGUGGGUUUAGAAAAUGGGUACAGUAUUAGUGGGACGGGUAGUGGAAAAAUGGAUUGGAAGGCAUUGGAAAAUGAGGUCUCUAUGGUGGCCAUGCAUGCGUCAAAAAAUAGAAAGGAGUGCAUGGAGGUUAAAUGGAAGGAUGAAUGAUGGAAGUAGCAGCUUGGGUAGGUGUAAGCUUUGGAUUUGGGUAGGUAAAAAAAAUGAGAGAUAGGUAUGAGAUAGCCAAUGAGAGAUCUGCACCAUUUGGCAUUGUGAUCGCUCGGUUUUUGUCGUUUAUUGGAUCAAAACAAAAUUUAUAACCUAAUUCACUAUUCUAUAGCAAUUUGUACUCGAUCAAAAAAUGGUUUUAGUACAAACUACUAUAGUAUAGUGGUAUUUAGGUAUCGUCCACAAGGAUGGAUUAUUCUCGGUAAUUAAGGCUUGAAUGAGAUGAUAAGAAAUGAUUGUGAUCAAGUGAAAUUGACUUGAAAUUGCAUGAUAAAAUUCCAAAAUAACAAUGUAUUCAAAUUGAGAGAAAAAUGAAGUGUAAAAGAGAAGAAAAUUAAUAAGAGGUGAGAUUCUCGGAGUUAGGAUUUUCUAGAAAGCAAUUUCCAUGGCGAAUAAGUGUUGAGAUCUAAUUUUCAUCAAGUUAAAUUGAAAACCUAAAUUUUCAUCUAAACCGAUUUUUGAUUUAGCUUUAGGUCUAGAUAUAAUUUCUCUUCAAAUUAGGUAAUCUAAUCCAAGAGAUCAAUUUGAAUCAUAUAUUCAAUUCAUCUUAAAUUAUCUCCUUAUGAUUCACACGAUGCAACUAUUCAAUCUCAUUAAAUUUAGCAUUAAGAAUUUAAUGAAUCUACCUAGCUUGCAUUGUAGUAAUCAUCCAAGACAAUUUAAAGAGAAGAAUCCCCAAAUUUCAAUUAAUCAAUCAAUUGGAUCAAAUUACCUUUGCAAUUCAAGCUCAAUUCUCUCAUUCACCAUAGAUCUUGUCUCUAGAUUCUCCCUCCUCUGAGAAAAACAAGAUUUAGCCACUCAUGCUUGGAGAUUUGAUCUCAUAAGACAUGUUUGGCUACCAAGAAAAUGAGAGAAAAUGAAGGAAAGUAGAGAAUUAUAUAGAGAAAAGAAAUCUGAAAAGUUCUACAAUUAGAAAAUGUAUCAAAAGUCUUUAAAUGAGUCAAUCACAUUUUUAUUUAUAGGCCAAGGUCAAGAUGACACUUGGCAACAUCUAAGAGGUCUUUCGGAUGCUUCUUCAUCAAGGAAUUUGGAGAAAAUACAUUUUCGCACGAGCCUUAGCAAUUUCGCAUGAUGGUGCGAAGUGGAAAACCAUCAGCUUCAUUUUUGUCUUUCUGGAGCGUUUCGCAUGACUGUACAAAAUUUUCGCAUGGUUGUGCGAAAUUGCUUUUCACUUUUCCCUUAGUAUGCUACAGCCAAACCUAUUCUGUUUCAUUUCACAUGGUCAUGCGAAAUUGAAAAACAUGUUUUUUCGACUCCUCUUUGCAAUUCUUUCCAUUUCUUCAUUUUUAAUCCACCUCUACCACUUUCAAUUCAACUCCAAAUCCCAAUCCAAACCGAUUGCAUUGCUUAUUUCAUUAUGCAUUUGGAUCAUCAUCAACUUUAUUUGUUUUCUUCAAUUUGGUUCAUCUCUUUUGUCACCAAUUUAUCAAAAUCAUACCUUAAAAUGACUUUAAAACUUCAUAAAACUUGUUAGUAACUAUUGCAAGGGCAAAAACAUGUUAAUUGAGUGUUUUAGGCAUAAUUACUACUCAAAAGAUGUGAAAAUCAUGAGAAUUAUUAUCUAAAAUAUGCUCUUUUUGAGUAGUAAUCAUUCCCCCCAACCAACACAUUGCUAGUCCCUUAGCAAUUGUAUGACAAAAAGAAAGAAAAAUAAGGCCAAAGAAAAGAAAUCAUAACUCACAUAAGCAAAUCAUUUGAAAAAAAAAAUGUUUGAAAUUUCCAUAGCAUAAAUGGUUGAUAAACAAGCACACCCUACUAUCCAUAGGUAUCAACAAAAUCCCAACUUAUUUACUAUCUCUAAUAGAAAUAAUAUCAUGCUAAUCAAGGUAUCAAAAACAUAUCCAUCUUCAUUUCCCAAACAAUCUUUGUAAACAAGUCUUGAGUGUAAUUAAGCUAGCUCCCGAAUAUAGUACUCAAAACUAAUCCUCCCCCCAACCUAGCUCAAUUUAUCUCAAACAACAAAAAUCACUCUCUCAUAGGUUAAGAACACACCUAUCUUUAUUUUAUUAUUAUUUUUUUUACAAAUGACUUAUUGUAGGAGUGCAAUGCUAAAGGUAUCUCCAAGUAUAUGGUCCAUGUAGCGGGGAUUCAUCGAUGACUCCCAAUCAUAAGGCAUAGGGCACCAAGUUUAUAGGACUAUUUAACUAGCCACUAACUCCUCAGACUUCACCCCGGACUCCUCAAAUUAGGAUCCAAUACAUUAACACCUACAAUUGAGUUCAUACCCCACCUAUCCACCCAUGUAACAAGCAUUGAGGUCGGUGGCUCCCAACCAAAAUGGCUUAGGGCACCAGGCUUUAAAGACCUUUGGGCCAUAUACCCCUCGGACCUUGCUCAGGUUUCAAGGCAAGCAUAACUCAACAUUUUUAUUCAUCAACUCUUUUUUUUUUUUUUUUUUCAAUUGGGCACAUUGGCCUCUUUUUAAGGUGUCUCAACUCAGUUCAAGAGUAAUCAAUGUUACAAGAUAAUUAAGUCUAAGUCUUAAGGUUAGAAUAGUUUUUCAUCUUAUAUCUGGGGUCUAGAGUGCAUAGUAUGUGUCAAGACUCAAAUAGAAAUGACAAUUUGGAAAAUGAAGACUUUAAAGUCAAAUCAACUUUAAUUCACAUAACCAAUCUUCUAAGAUCAAGCAAAUAAGCUAGUAUUCUAAAUCAACUUUUUUUAAGUUAGGUUUGCUCAUUCAUCAAUCACAAAUGCUAUAGUCAUCUCAAAAAAAUCUCACCAAAUAAGUCACAAAUGUGAUUUAUGAAAAAAAAAAAUUAUAGAAAAACUAAUAACAUAUUUCCUUCUCUUCAUUUUUAACCCUCCCCCAACCUAACUUGUACAUUGUCCUCAAUGUGUAAUGAAAAUAUACAAAGAAAGGAAGGAAAGAUACCUCAAUCUCUCAUGAAUUUCAGUUUCAAUAGCUAAAACAAAAAUAAGAUCACACAUGAGAAUUGUUGGAUAUGAAUGACAUAAGAGAAGAAAAUAUGAAAACAAAUCUAUUAAAAACCAAAAAAAAAAAACUAUGUUAGAGACACAAUGUAUGGAGUAAAAUCAAGGUAUAGAUGAUGACAAUGUCCAAAGAAAACAUGAUUUCAAUGAUAAGUCAAUGAUUCUCAUGGAGUUUUUGAAAAUUUCAGACAAGUGUGCAAACUAGACAAGAAGGUGGUGUGUGUUGCAACCACUUUUUCUUUUGAAAUAAUUUGGCACAAUCAUGCGGAAAUUCGCAUGUACAUGCGAAUUGGUCAAGAGAGCUUUAUCUUAUUAUAGUCUUCAGCAUAAUUUUCGCAUAGUCAUGUGAAAAUUCGCAUGUUGAUGCGAAAUGGAUCUGAGGCUUAAAACUGUUGUAGUCAUCCACAUUAGUUUCGCACAGUCAUGCGAAAACUUCACAUGAGUGUGUGAAGUGGUCCAGAUGGCUCAUUUUACUACAGUCUUUAAGAUGGAUUUCGCAUAGUCAUGCGAAAUGCUCUAGAGGGUUCAUUUUUACAACUAUCAUUUUCAGUUUUGCACAGUCAUGCGAAAAUUUUGCAUGACCAUGCGAAUUGUGACAAAGACUCAUUUUGUACAUUUCCGAAGAUAUGAAAACUCCCCUAUUUUGGCAUGACUGUGUUAUUUUGGCAUGACCUCCCUGUUUUGGCAUGACUAUGCAAAAUGGUGAUGGGCCAUUAAAACUCUUUUUUCCUUUGCUUCAUGCAUUCCAUCCAUCCAGAAAGUCCUUCAAAACACAAGUCAAAGAAUUGAGAUGGAUUUAUUUAAUGGAAACUAAAAAAAAAAUCAAAAUCCAAAGGAAAUGAUAAACCAUUGGGCUAGCUAGCCAUUGACAUGACUAAGCCCAUUAACCUUUGCAUCAAUACUCAAUUUGGAUAUGGCUUGCAAACAAUGAAUGGACCAACUCCUUGGUACUUAAGCUUUCCCAGAAAAAUAUGUGGCUUGAAAUAACCUUCUUUGAACUUGUUCUUUUGAAUAAGUUGGUCAUGCCAUUCCUUGAGUUUCUUUUUCAUGGUCUUUGGAUUAUUUUUCAUACCAUGCUUCAUUUUUUUCACUUUCUUGAAGCUGAAAGACCAUUUCAUUAACUUCAAAGGUUGAAUUUCUUUAUUGAUCCUCCAAACUUCAAUCCGUUCAUUGGAAAUUGCUUCACUAAGUUUUGAAAAAUUAUCUUCAACCUUUUCUUUCACUAGCACUUUCAUAGGCAAUUCAAUCAAAUAAGCCUCCUUAAGUUCCUCCUCCUCCUUGGUACCAUGCUUCUUAUAUGAAUGAAAAAUGUUUAGCUCAAUUGUCAUGUUACCAAAGGUAAGUUGCAUCACCCCACUUCGACAAUUAAUUAAUGCAUUUGCUGUGGCAAGGAAAGGUCGGCCAAGUAUAAUAGGAACAUGGUUGAGUCCACUAGUUCCUUGUUUCAUAUCAAGCACCACAAAAUCAACCGGAUAAUAGAAGAUAUCGAUUUGGAUCAACAUAUCCUCAAUAAUUCCUCUUGGAAACUUAACCGAUCUAUCCGCCAAUGAAAGUGUGAUGGAAGUAGACUUUAGUUCUCCAAACCCCAAUUGCUUAUAUACCGAGUAGGGAAGAAGAUUCACACUUGCCCCCAAGUCUAAAAGUGCUCUUUUCACAAAAGUGUUGUCAAUCUUCACCGAGAUAGUUGGACAUCCCGGAUCCUUAUACUUGAUUGGGGUUUUACAUUGGAUGAUUGCACUAACUUGUUCAGUCAAGAAAGUUUUCUUUUUCAAAUGCAUCCCUCUCUUUAUGGUACACAAAUCCUUAAGAAACUUGGCAUAGGUUGGAAGUCUUAUCAUGUCAAGGAGUGGUAUAUUGACUUUGACUUGCUUGAGAACUUCAAAAAUUUCUAGAGCAUUAUUUACCACUUUCUUGGAUUGAAGAGCCAUAGGAAAAGGUGGAGCUAAGAGCAUAUCUUUCUUCUUAACCUCUUCUUUAACAAUCUCAUCUUCCUUUGAUCUAUCAUCCUCAUUCACCUCUUUCCAUUUUUCUUGUUCUUUCACAUUUUCCUUUUGUUCCCCUCUUUUAUUCUCUUUUGGUUUUGGCAUAGGUUGAUCAACUUGCUUACCACCUCUUAAGGUAAUGACUGCUUUGACUUCAUCCUUCUCAAUAGAACUUUCACUUGUCUCUCCAAUUUCAUGGACUCCACUUGGAUUUUGUUGGGGUUAUGAAGAGAAUUUUCCUUUUUCUUACACUGUAUGCAUGCUUGUGAGUUUAGAAAUAGCAAGCUGCAUAUUAUCAAUCUUUUGUGUGAGAUUGGUUUGCAAGCUAUCAAAUUUCUGAUUGAAAGAUGUCUCCACAUGAUCUAUUCUUUGGUUUACUUGAAUAUUGAUAUUCUUUUGAUCACCAAUAAAAUCACCCAAAAUUUUACUCAAGCUUACAAUAGCUUGCUCAACCAAAGAAAUUUGUUGUGGAGAGUCUUCCAUGACUUGUUGGCUUUGUGAGUAUUGACUUGAAGAAAAUUGUUCUUGUCCACAAUUCCAUGACAUGUUUAGAUGAUUCUCAACAAGUCUUUCCCCCAUAGCUAGUAUUGUAGGACAAUCACUCACUUCAUGUUCUAUAGAUUGACAAUUAGAACAUUGCUCCUUGUAAAUUGGAUUAUCAUAUAUUGCAUUCACCACAUGAAAUCCCUUAGCUUCAAGUUCCUCUAGCCUUUUUGUCAAAGCUACCAUUUUAGCUUGUAGAUCAACAUCUUCAUUCAACAUAUACAUUCCUCCAUUUGAAUUGCUUUGAGACUUGGACUUGUGUAAAUCCCUUUCAUGUGGCUCAUUCCAUGACCUUAAUAUUUUAGCCACAUAAUUCAAGAAUUCAAAAGCUUCAUCGGGACUUUUGCUCAUAAAGCCACCUCCACACAUGGUUUCUAGCAAUUGCUUCAUAGUUGGCGACAUGCCCUCAAGAAGUAACUCACCAACAUCCAUGUGUCAAAACCAUGAUGAGGACAAACAUUGAUUACUUCCAUAUAUCUUUCCCAACAAGCAUAAAAUUUUUCAUUGUCCAAUGCCACAAAGUUGGUAAUUUGCCUCUUCAAGCCACUUGUGCGAUGUAUGGGGAAAAUUUUCUUUAAGAAGGUUGUUUGUAGUUCCAACCAUGACCUUAUGGUUUGGGGCCCCAAUGAGUUGAACCACAACUUAGCCUUAUCCUUCAAUGUGAAUGGAAAAAGCUUCAAUCUCAUAAGCUCAAUGGAUGUGUUUCCCUCAUGAAAUGUAUGAAAAACCUCUUCAAAAUCCUUGAUGUGAGUAUAAAGAUUCUCAUUCUCCAUUCCAUGAAAUUGAGGUAGAAGGGGUACCAAGUGAGUUUUUAUCACAAUAGCCUCAUUAGGAAGAACUAUACAUGAUCCCAUGCCUAUCCUUUGAGGAUGCAUAUAUUCUCUCAUUGAUCUAGACAUGUGAGAAUUGCCAUUGUUUGGUCCUUGUUGAGUUUGUUGAUUUUCCCCUUGAUUUUCCAUUUCCUCAACAAUUGGAUCACAAAACAAAGAUGAUUAGCAAUAUAAGUUUUUUUUCAAUCUCUCCCUUGAAUUUUAUUCUCAAUGUAGUAUGCAAUGGAGAGCCUACAAAACAAGCUUAGAAAAACCAAAACAAACCAAGAAGAACAAAAAGAGAAAUAAAAGAUAAAAAUGGAAAAAAAAAUAAUAAUAAGAAAAAUGGAGAAUCGAUAAAGAGAACUUCACCAAUCUUGUGAUGUGGAUCACAAGGGCUAAUCCUCACCAAAAAAAAAAAUGCCUCAAUCACCUAGGCACCAUCCCCGGCAACAGUGCCAUUUUUGAUUGCUCGGUUUUUGUCGUUUAUUAGAUCAAAACAAAAUUUAUAACCUAAUUCACUAUUCUAUAGAAAUUUGUACCCAAUCAAAAAAUGGUUUUAGUACAAACUACUGUAGUAUAGUGGUAUUUAGGUAUCAUCCACAAGGAUGAAUAUUCUUGGUAAUUAAGGAUUGAAUGAGAUGAUAAGAAAUGAUUGUGAUCAAGUGAAAUUGACUUGAAAUUGCAUGAUAAAAUUCCAAAAUAACAAUGUAUUCAAAUUGAGAGAAAAAUAAAGUGUAAAAGAGAAGAAAAUUAAUAAGAGGUGAGAUUCUCGAAGUUAGGAUUUUCUAGAAAGCAAUUUCCAUGGUGAAUAGGUGUUGAGAUAUAAUUUUCAUCAAGUUAGAUUGAAAACCUAAAUUUUCAUCUAAACCGAUUUUUUAUUUAGCUUUAGGUCUAGAUCUAAUUUCUCUUCAAAUUAGGUAAUCUAAUCUAAGAGAUCAAUUUGAAUCAUAUAUUCAAUUCAUCUUAAAUUAUCUUCCUAUUAUUCACAUGACGCAACUAUUCAAUCUCAUUAAAUCUAGCAUUAAGAAUUUAAUGAAUCUACCUAGCUUGCAUUGUAGUAAUCAUCCAAGACAAUUUGAAGAGAAAAAUCCCCAAAUUUCAAUUAAUCAAUCAAUUGGAUCAAAUUACAUUUGCAAUUCAAGCUCAAUUCUCUCAUUCACCAUAGAUCUUGUCUCUAGAUUCUCCCUUCUCCGAGAAAAACGAGAUUUAGCCACUCAUUCUUGGAGAUUUGAUCUCACAAGACAUGUUUGGCUACCGAGAAAAUGAGGGAAAAUGAAGGAAAUUAGAGAAUUAUAUGAGAAAAGAAAUCUGAAAAGUUCUACAAUUAGAAAAUGUAUCAAAAGUCUUUAAAUGAGUCAAUCACGUUUCUAUUUAUAGGCCAAGGUCAAGAUGACACUUGGCAACAUCUAAGAGGUCUUCCGAAUGCUUCUUCAUUAAGGAAUCUGGAGAAAAUACAUUUUCGCACGAGCCUUAGCAAUUUCGCAUGAUGGUGCGAAGUGGAAAAUCCAUCAGCUUAUUUUUUGUCUUUCUGGAGCGUUUUGCAUGACUGUGCGAAAUUUUUGCAUGGUCAUACAAAAUUGCUUUUUACUUUUCCCUUAGUAUGCUGCAGCCAAGCCUAUUCUAUUUCAUUUCGCAUGACUAUGCGAAAUUGAAAAACAUGUUUUUUCGACUCCUCUUUGCAAUUCUUCCCAUUUCUUCAUUUUUAAUCCACCUCUACCACCUUCAAUUUAGCUCCAAAUCCCAAUCCAAACUAAUUGCAUUGCUUCUUUCAUUAUGCAUUUGGAUCAUCAUUAACUUUAUUUGUUUUCUUCAAUUUGAUUCAUCUCUUUUGUCACCAAUUUAUCAAAAUCAUACCUUAAAAUGACUCCAAAACUUCAUAAAACUUGUUAGUAACUAUUGCAAGGGCAAAAACAUGUUAAUUGAGUGUUUUAGGCAUAAUUACUACUCAAAAGAUGUGAAACUCAUGAGAAUUAUUAUCUAAAAUAUGCUCUUUUUGAGUAGUAAUCACAUUGCAACACCCUUAUUUUGUUAUACCCAUUUGUAUGCUUAUCCUUUACAUAAGGAGCUUGUCUGACACCUUUAUAGAAGCGGACAAAAAGCAUGGCUUGCUUGUAGAUCCAGUGCAACUUUCAGUAACACCCAACCCCUAUCAUUUUGACCCAAAAGGAUCUAUACCUAUGAUCAUUGAACUCAUUCCAUUUUGAGAACAAUCUUCAUGAACUCAUAAACGAAAUAACUUAUUGAAACUGAAGGUAGCACCUGUGGUAAGCCGAUUUCAAUAUAUCAUGCACACCAUAGAAAAUUGCACCUGAAGGUGCCAUACUUAUAGUGGAAGGCACCAAACCCUUGUAAAUGGAGAAGAAUCCUUCAGUUCGGAUCAUAUGGAGGAAAUGCCAAUAACACUACCCAAGGCUUUACCACCCGGUGCCACCAUCUUGGUCUGGAUUUAACAUGGUACCCAAUAGUAAGCGGAGUAUGGUAGUAGUAAUUCUAGCUGCAUCACCAGCAAUUGUCUUAAUUAGCUCAAAUAUAUGCUUCUGUUCACCAUGAACUAUAUAUUCCAGCUUUAGUCUCCUUUGAUUGCAUAUCAUUUCCUCCACAAAACUUUCGUUUACUAUCAUCAAACUGCCAUCCUAUACCACAAUGGUCCCAUCAACCCUACUGACCAUCCAAAUGUCAUUAAAUGAGCUAGAAGCUGGGGACUCUCAACAGCAAGAGCACCUUGAGGUUGAAUGAAUUUAGAAUAACCCACUGAAAACUCUUAUAUAGCUUCUUUAGGUGGAGAUGAGGAAGGAGAAUAGCCAAAAUAGAGCACAACAGAGUGAGCAAAGCAUUAAGUGGGAUCCCCCUUUCAUAUUGAAAUCAAGGGGUUCCAGCCAGUGGUGCAACAGGAGAGUUUAAAACAAAGAUCCAAAUGAGAGCAUCAAUAAACUCCCACCAUGGGAGUGAGCCAUAUUCAAAAAAACAAAUAUAAGAGAAAAGUAAUGCAUCAUCACAUACCCAGACAAUCGUCCAAUGCUUAGAAAAAAAAAAAAACCAAAACAACCAGAGAAGAUGGAAGAUAAAGAAAACAGAGUGAUGAGUGAAAAUAAUCCAAAAAGCUAUAUCAAAUGUACCUAGAAAUGCUCUUUCCAAUUUUCUUUUCUUCCCAACUACCUUCAGCAAACUAGAUUUGCUUUCUCUCCUCUGCUCCUAAUCAAACUACACCCUCAAGCAAUCUGAAAAAUGCAAUCCUCUCUCUCACAACCUCAGCGCACCAACCAUCUCUACUUCUCUCAUUGUUGCUCCAACUCCUUACAAAAAUAUCCCCUCUUUGUCUCUCCUCCCAAGCUCUUUCUCUCUCUCUCUCUCUCACUUCUCCUCAGCUAUGCUCUCUCAAUCCCUCUAAAAAAAAACAUCCUUCUCUCGCUCCUCUGUAACCUCAAACUUUUCUCUCAAGCUAAAGGAAACUUCUCCCCCCGAUAUCUCCUCUCCUCCCUAGCAACCAAAAAUACCCCUCCUCUGCCAGAAUGCCUCACCUUCUCUCUCCUACGCUCCUCCAUAACGGCCUGAAGAUUCUUAUGCCAUGCAUCAGCCGCUGAUUGCCUUCAGAAAAGAUCACUGCCUAUCCAUCCUCUCAUGCACAUGUUGCCAAAAAUAAAAAAAGGUGGUAAAGAAUGCUCCCUAAAAUGCCCUUACCUAUAAACCAAAACGAGGGUUUUACAGGCGCACAAUAUUUGUGGAAAAAUAUUCUUUGCUGAAGAAUAUUUUUUAAAGAUCAAUUGAAAGCCUAAAGCAGCUUGUUCCCAAAUGAAUUUAUUGAAUGGUGAAAAACACGUGUGUUGCGAUUUUUUGGAUUUGUAGGGGGUAUUUUAUAAAGCUUUUUUCUCUUUGUGAAACUCCUUUUCAUAUGUGAAAUUGUUUUAUUUUUAUUUUAUCAUUUUCAUUGAAGGAAGUUGCAAAUAUUUAUAGAUAAAAUUUUAAAAAAUAAAUUUAGAAUUUCUAAGAUUUGAUUACUUAAUUAAAAAAAAAAAUUGGUUUCUUGAUUUUAGCAACUUGUCUUCUUCAUUAAGGAAGUUUGCUAACAAGAGAAUAUUUACUUCUCAUUUUAUUUUGACUUCAAUUGGAAGACUUGUUUCAUUUGUUUACAAAAUUUUCCAACAAGAAAAUAUUUAUUUCUAAUUCUCUUUUGAUUUCAAUUGUUUGAUUUGAUUUGAUUUUGCAAGACUUUAUUUUAUAGCCUUCCAAAUUUCACUACGUGUCAUUUUUUGAAUUGAAUGCCACAUGCUCAAUAUAUAUGACUCAUCACUUAUUAAGCCUGAGUUUUGUUGAGCUAAAGAGUUACAAUUUUGAAGACUAAUUUGGUAGUAUUUUAAUCCACUAAAAUUUUUUGUCUACAAAUGCCCCCUCUUCAAAAUAGAUCACACACAUGCAUUGUAAUGUAUAAGAGGUGAGUCUUGAAGUUAGCCUUUUGAAUCUUCAAUAUCCUUCUUUGAUUUUUUUUUUCGAAGAAAUAUUUUAAUAGGAAUUUCCUAUUCAAAAUACUUUUCUUCAACUUUUUUCGAACAUUGCUUUAUUUAUUUAUUUUUUUUCUACCUCGUAUCAAAGAAAAACCUUGUGUUAAUGGGAAAGCUUCUUAUUUGAACAUCUAUUGUCUUUUCUCAUGGUAUUUCACUUCCAAUUUGUCAACCUAGAAGAAGUCCUUCACCCUAGCUUGUUCAAUUGCAUCUUAGACUUGGUCACAUGCCUUUAACUUGCAAUUCUUCCUCCACUUUGUCUUUUUCUUUUUUAUUUGUUUAAAAAAUAGUACAAAAUAUUUGAGCAAGACCAUAAGCAAGAGAAGAGAGGUGGUGAAUGGAGCACCAACUAACCUUAGGUCAAGAUCUUGAGCAAGAGAAGUAAGGUGGAGCGUAGAGCACAAACUUCUCUAGAGCAUGGUAGGCAUACCAUCAUGGAGUUGUCUUCUGCAUGGAGCAUGGUAGGGCAUUAUAUAUAUGAUAGGGUGGGCCAUUAUGUAACAAUGAAGAACAAAAAUCCAUGGUGUACAAUUGGGAACAACAAUUCAUGCUAUCAAGCUUCAACCUUUUUUUUUUUGUUUUUUUUUUAAUCCCUAUCUCCACCCCCCGACCCAAUAUUUUUUCAAGUUUCCAGAUUCCUUUUGAUUCUUUCUCAUUUUAUUUUUUUCAACUCUUUUUUUUCCUCCCUUUUUAACCAUUGUUUUUAAGGAAGAAAUAGAUUCACCAUCCCUUACCACAAGGUCAAUCUCCAUUGCUUGCAAAGACAAAUUUGCUUUUUGGUGUUUUUUUUCUUCAAAAAUUAUCUUAACAUUUUAAGAUAUAUAUAUAUAGAUAUAGAUAUUUAAAAAACUUAAAUAUCCAUAAUAAAAAUAAAUAUUUAAGGCUCUUGACUUGUUUAAAUUGGCUUGACUUGGAUACUUAGCGGGACCAUACUUAACACCCAUGUAGAUGAGCUAUAAUCUUGAUGGUAGGUUGUGUUGUAUUUUUUGACAUUUAAUGUGGCUUAAGAGUUAAAGUCUUCACUCAUGCAAAUUAGCUUGGUUUGGAUGCACAAUGGUCUCUAACUUCUUAAUGCUUAAUUAAACUUGGAACCAUAUUUAACACCCAUGUAGACAAGUCAUAAUCAUGACAUGGAGCACUAUUUUAUUUUAACUCUUAAUGCAACUUAAAUAUUAAAGUCUUCACUCAUACAAAUUAACUUGGGUUAGAUGCACAAUGGUGUUCAACUUGGUAAAAUUAAUUAAAAUUGAAACAUUUAACACCCAUGUAAACAAGUCAUAACUUUCACAUGGAACAGUGUUGUAUUUUUAGCUUAAUGUCGCUUAAGUGUUAAAGUCUUCACUGAUGUAAAUUAGCUUGGCUUAGAUGCAUAGUAGCAUUCAACUUUUUAACACUUAAUUUAAAUUCAUACCAUAUUGAAAACCCAUGUGGACAAGACAUAAUGAGAAAAUAAAUGGCUAAUCUAAAUAGAUAAAAAUACCUAACAAGGAAGGAGGGGGGUGAAUUGGAGUUUAAAAAAAAAAUAUAUUUUUAAACACAAUAAAAUUAAGUACAAGAAGCACAAAUAUAAAGAGAUAAGUUAUAGAAAUCAAACUCAGAUUUAUAGUGGUUCGACACUUCCUUGCCUACAUCCACUCUCCUCAAACUCCUAACCGAGUGAGGGUUCCACAUAUACUUGAAGCUUCAACCAAGCUUCUAAUCACUUUUUACACUUGGAUUUUAGCUCCAAUGGGCUCUUACACAUUCUCUUCAAGUCUCUACUCACUUGAAGAUUUUAACACACAAUUAACAGUUUGAAACUCUCAACCUAGCUCAACAAUGGCUCAAAUACAACUCAAGGCUAGGAUGAAUCACAAAGGUGCAUUAAAUAAUAUGCAAAUGAAGAUUUAAUGCACUGAGAAAAGAAUGAGAGCUUUUAUGGCAAGAACAAGUAGGUAAACAAAUCAAUGGAGGUGUUCUCUUACUCAUAAAUGAAGUGGAACUCUCAAUUUAUAGGUUUCUAAUCUCGGAAGCUAAAAAACCAAAAAGUAACCUCGAUUGGUCGAGUUAGGGGUCGACAGGUUCACUAGUCGUUAGAGCAUUAAAUGCGUGGCAGGUGAUCGUUACCCUCGACCGGACCUUGACUGGGAAGGCAAAUCUCUCAACUGGGAAAGAAAGGCUAUUGGAAGAGAGAAGGCUUUUUGCAUCUUUUGACUAGACCUCAACCGAGAAGGAGCAACUGAUCGACCAGUACCCUAGCCGGUUGAGCCGGUUGGCCAGUGCCUCAACCAAUUCACCAUUUUUUGGCCCUAAAACCUAUCUUUUUGUGGUCUUUUUUGCUUCUAACACUUAAACAAGGUCUUUAGGUAAAAUAAUAUGUCAAUUUUGAAACGCUUUGCCUAAGGUUCAUUUGAUAGAACUCGGAUUUUGAUGGAAAUGUGACUUUAAUGCGUAAACCGAGUUUUAAAAGAUGUAUGAAAUGAUAUGAAAAUUCUAAGUACACUCAUGCAUUCAUUUUACAUAGUUUUCUAUAAUUAAAAAGUCUUUCAAAAGUCUUGAUCUUGCAUCCAUUAGAUCAUUUGAUUAAUUUCCAAAUUAAUAUUUGAAAUUCUUUAUAAUUCAAACCAAUUAGUAACUUAACCAUGGUUUGUUAUCAUCAAAACAUGAUUAGGAGAACCCUUGGGCUAACACAUAACAUUGUAGCAAUGUUAUAUUUUUUACACUUAAUGCAGUUUAAGUUCUAAAAUCUUCAUUUCUAUGAAUUGGUUCACCUUGGAUGCAUAGUGGUGUCUAAAUUAUAAUACUUAAUUAAAAUUGAAACCAUAUUUAACACCCAUGUAGACAAGUCAUAACUUUGACAUGGAGUGGCAUUGCAUUUUUGACACUUAAUGCAACUUAGGUGCUAAACUUUUCACUCAUGAGAAUUGGUAUGGGUUGGAUGCAUGUGGUGUCGAACUUUUUAACACUUAAUUAAAAUUGGAACCAUAUUUAACACUAUCUAGAUAAGUCAUAACCUUGAUGUGAAGCGACAUUGUAUUUUCAACACUUAAAGCAACUUAGGUGCUAAAGUCUUCACCCAUGCAAAUUAGUUCAUCUUGGAUGUACAAUGGUGUCCCAUUUUUUAACAUAUAAUUAAAAUUGGAACCAUAUUUGACACUCAUGUAGACAAGUCUAGCCAUGAUGUAAAGUAGUGUUGUAUUUUUAAAACUUAAUGCAGCUUCAAUGGUAAAGUUUUUACUCAUGUGAAUUGGCUUGAUUUGGAUGCACAAUGAUGCCUAACUUUUUAACAUUUUAUUAAAUUUGGUAUCAUAUUUAACACCUAUGUAGACAAGUCAUAACCUUAAUGUAGAGGUGCUGUAAUAUUUUUGGUACUUAAUGCCGCUCAAGUGCUAAAGUCUUCACUCAUGUGAAUUUUUUUGGUUGAGAUGGACGUCUCUAACAUUUUAACAUUUAAUUAAAAUCAGAAUCAUAUUUAACACUCAUGUAAAAAAGUCAUAACCUUGACACAUAGUAAUAUGCAAUGUUUUAACAUUUAAUAUGACUUAAGUGCUAAAGUUUUCACUCAUGUGAAUUGGCUUGGCUUGGAUGCAUAAUGGUGUCUAACAUUUUAACACUGAAAUUAAAAUUAGAGUUAUAUUUAAUAAUCAUGUAGACAAGUCAUAACCUUGACGAGAAGCAAUAUUGUCAUUUUGACACUUAAUAUUGCUUAAAUGCUAAAGGCUUCACUCAUGCAUAUUGACUUAGCUUGGAUGAACAAUGGUAGCUAACUUUUUAACACUUCAUUAAAUUUGGAUUAUGGUUAACAUCCAUGUAGAAGAGUGAUAAACUUGAUGCAAAGUGAUGUUAUAUUUUUGGUACUUAAUAUAGCUUAAAUACGAAAAUCUUCACUUCUAAUAAUUAACUUGGCUUGGAUGCAUAGUGGUGUCCUACUUUUUAACUCUUAAUUGAAAGUGAAAUCAUAUUUAACAUCCAUUUUAUGCUAGUCAUAAACUUGAUAUAGAGCAAUGUGCAACUUUUUAACAUUUAAUGCAACUUAGGUGCUAAAGUCUUUACUCAUAUGAAUUAACUAAACUUAGAUGCAUAUUCGUUUCCAACUUUUUUAAUACCUAAUUAAAAUUAAAACCAUAUUUAAAAACCAUGUAGACAAAGGCAUAAUCUUAACAUGGAGCAGUGUAUAACUUUUAGCACUUAAUUAAAAUUGGGAUUAUACUUCACAACCACAUAUUCCUCCUCCUAUUUUUCAAUUUUUUCUUGUGGUGAUGAUUGAACUCAACUAGUUUGUCCAAGUUACCUGCAUACCUUAACAGAGAGGGGAUCAAGUCAAACUUAGUUCAAAGUAUUUUUUUAAUAUCUAACUUUUGCCAAGGCUAAUGAUUUUAAUCUUGAAAGCUUGUCUUAACUUUUGACUAUAUAUGUAGUGUUUUCAAGUUUCAAUUUAGCGACCUAUGAAUUGUACAAAUUGAAAAUGACUUCACUCAUGUGUAAAAAUAAAAGAUAUUCAUUCAUAGUUUUAGGGCAACGAAAAGUAAUCGACCCUUUUUUGCAUUAUUAUUAUUAUUGUUGUUGUUAUUAUUAUAAUUAUUAUAUUACCUUAAAAAAAAGACCUUCUCCAAAAAAUUUAAUCUACAAGUACUUGGAUUCUAUUUGAAUAUAAAAAGAGCCACUCAUAUGCAUGAAUUAAAUAUAUGUCCCAUGGAUAAGUUGUACUUAGCCACGGCUGAAGCUUUCCAUUAUGACUUGAAGGGAAAAAAAAAGAGAGGAGAAUAAUGUCAUUAAAAAACUGAUUGCCAUGUGCCUAUGCCUGCCAGUAGAUGGCUGAAAACUAGUUCUAUUCUUUUGUUUUUGCCUCUACUAAUGAACCAUAAUUGAGAGAUUCAUUGGCAACUAUCGUAUAAACAAUGGUUCAUAAAUUACUUUUAAAUUUUGAUAGCAAAGACUCAAAAUGUAAAACCAUAAAAAAUUUGUUCUAUUCCCAAAUUUUUUUAAAUAAUAAAUUAAUGCACAUGACUGUUUUCACAUCUUAUUCUCAUUUCUAUCAAUGCAAUAAUUGUAAUCAUCUUAUCUAUUAACAUGGCCUAGAGCCAUAGAGCUUCCUUUUCUUUAGUCCUAGAGCCAUUUCAGCUAAGAGUAGUCUUUCCUUAGCAUUUCCGGUCCAAAGCUUCCAUUUCUUUAGGCCUAGAGGCAUUUUCAGUCCAGAGCUGCUGUUUCUUUCGGCCUACAACCAUUUUCAGCCUGAAGCUGCCUUUCUUUAGCAUUUUCAGCCCAGAGCUACCUUUCCUUGGCAUAUCAGCCCAAAGCUUCUAUUUCUUUAGGCCUGGAGCCAUUUCAACAUACAACAUUGGUUUCUUUGGCCGGGCCUUGAGCCCUUUUCAACCCAGAACUGUCAUUUCUUCUAAAUAACUUCUCUUUUAAAAAACUUCAAUUUGUCUUUCCAAUAAAAAAAUUUAAGGCUUUGUUCUAGGUUUCAAGAAGCUGGCAUAGAAAAAAAAAAGGAAAAAAAAAAUUCUUGAUGGCAUAAAGUAGGACAUGGCCGGGAUAGUUUGAAAUACAUAAUUUUCCCCAUUCAAAUGCAAAACAUAUUAAAAGAACAUUUGGCAUGAUUUUAUGAAGUGAUUCUAUCUUUUCUAAUACUUCAAAGUUAUGAAGUGAUUCUAUCUUUUCUAAUACUUCAAAGAUAAAUUUUUUUGAAGUAUUAGAAAAAUUAGAAACAUUUCUUAAAAUCACUACCCUUAACUAUAUUUAGAUACUUUAACCAUUUCAAAUGCUACAUGUUGUUUCCUUCUACAUUUCCUCUUUAUUUUGUUUUUCUCUUACAUUUUUCCUCAAAUUUUCUAAAAACCAAACAUAACCUAAAAGAAAAGAUAAUUUGACUUAUUUUGAAAGUUCUUUAUAUAUAUAGUUUAUAUGGAAAAUUGUUUCAUGUUAAUUUAAUAAAGCAUUUAUAAUAUUGAGAUCGCUCUUUCAUAAUCAUAAAUUAACCUUUAGUUUCAACUUCUACAAGAGGCUAAAUGAAAAAAGCUAUCACAGAGGAGGCCUCAGCCAAUGAGUAAGAUGCACUGUUGUACCAAACAAUAGGUGGAAAAUACAAUUUUAUUAAGACUCUGAGACAAAAAAAAAAAAAAAAAGGAUGAUUUUACACUCAAAACAAGGAUUUAUUUAUAAUGAAGUGCAGUCUCCAUAUGCACAUGUGACUGCAUUUACAGCAUAAAGAAAGACAAGGAAAUUAACAAAUGUUGGACUCAUUGGAAAAUCAUACAAAUUAUUGAAGGAGGACCUUAGCUAAGCUAACUGUCUCCUAAAUUGCCCAUCUUUUAUAUAUAUUUGCAUUCAUCCGUCUCAUCAUCGUCUUUGAUUUUAGAUGGUGAGGAUGUGAAAGUAACAGGAAGCAGUGGACGAUUGUUCACUGUGAGGCUUAGCACAUCAGCUCUCGAAUAAUGUCCUACCACAUCGAACUGGAACUUUGCUUUAGGAAUCUCUCCACGAACAUCUGCAUAUCAAGUGAUCAUCAAAAUAUUUGAUCAGCCCUUUUAAAUAUCAGAGAGUAUCAAGUCUUCCAUAAAACCGUGUUUGCAGUCCUUUUAAACCUAAAGAAUUCACUCAUUUGCCUUAUCUGCAUACUGAAAUAUUUGGAUAUACAAUUGGAGAAGUUAGGGCCAUACCAAGAUCAGCUGUGAAGAGGCCUUCUCCUUCAUAAUUCGGUCCUGCUAGAAUUUCGCCAUGGGGCGAAAUGAUGACACUACCUCCUGCCCAAACAAUGGAAUCUGGAGUGACAUCUUCUUCUGUAGGACUGUAAAGAUACUCAGGUGGAGGUGGGUAAUCUUUCCUCCGACAGAACUGGAUGGGUGAAAGAACAUAGCAUCCACCCUCAAUAGCAACGUGUCUCAUUGUAGCUACCCAUGUAUCCCCGGAAUCGGCAGUAGGAGCACAAUAUAUCUCAAUACCUAUAGAGAUGUACAUUCGUAUUUUGUGAUCAAUCAAUCCCAUAUCAAAGCCAUAAUGUAUUUCAAGCCUAUUUAUAGGCUAAAACCCUAACAACUUAAAAAAGAGUACUGAAGUAUUUCAAGCCAAACCAUAUUAGUUAGUGAAGAAAAAGACAUACCUUUGCCAUACAUUGCUGUCCUUAGAAGCGGCAUUCUAUUUUCCCAACAAAUGACCGAACCAAGUUUUCCAUAUGGAGUGUCAUAAACUGGAGUUGUCGAGCAAUCUCCGAAACCCCAGACGAGCCGCUCCCAAUAUGUUGGCAUGAGUUUCCUAUGUUUUCCAAGGUAAUUACCUUUAGGAUCAAAGAAGAGAACAGUGCAAUACAAUGUGUAUCCCUCUCUCUCAAUAACACCUGUCACUAAGUAGACUCUGUAUUUCGCAGCCAUUGAUGCCAAUCUAUCAACUUCAGGUCCUGAAAAUACAUUAAUUUGAGAUUAAAGAUGAAACAUGUCAGCUGAAGGUUCAUCACAAAGCAGCAUAAGUAGAUUUUGUUUCAACAACUUAUUAAGUGGCUCAGUUCUUUAGCUAUUUAAGGGAGAAAAAGAGAGGUAAUUGACCCGGAACAUUAAUGGCAGAAGCAUGGUACUUGCGGAAACUUUCUUUCCCUCUUGGCGACCGGUCAGCGAAGUUAUAUCCUCGGGGAUACCCACCGAUAAAUGCUUCAGGAAACACAACCAGUUGGGAUCCCAGUGCAGCUGCUUCUUUCAAAAACCUCUCAGCCUUAUCUGCUCUCAAAAUCACAUUGCAAGAAGUAAAUUAAUUGGUUGAAUGGAGAGAAUGAAAAUUAACUUUUAAGAGAUCCCGAAUGACUUUUUGGUUGCUGAGAAAACUCAAGGAAAAACAGACCUAGAUGAAACUUGAAACUCUCAUAUUUUCAGCUGUUUUGUAACUAAGAAAAGAGAAACCACCUCAACUCAACUCAUCAAAAUAAUUGUAAAAGCAGUAAUUCCUUGAUUGGCAGCUGAAAAUAUGAUCAGGGUUCAAUCAUCCUUUUCUUUUUUUCAGUCUCUGAGAAACCAAUUAGAUCACAUAUUCCAUUACACAAGUUGCACAAUUGAAAGAAAUGGUACGUUACCUAGAGUGGCAGGAGUAUCAUAAAAGAUACUAGAAGCUUGAACAACGGUGGCUCUAACAGUUGAAGACAUUGCAGAAAAUUGUAUGUUUUUUCGUUUCCCCUUUGUUUGAGGAUUCCUCACACUGCGUUCAGUAUAUAUAUUGCCCAUGACAUUGUGGACCAGCCACUUGACUUAUACAAAUUGAAAAUGACUGAGUCAUCUGUGAAAAGCAAUUUAAGAUAACAUUCAAAAUUAAUAAGCUUUAAUUUUUAUUUAUAUAUAUAUAUACAUAAUCUACAAGUUGUUAUCAUUAUAUUUGAAUAAAAAGAGGGACCCGCCCACAUGCAUGGAUUCCAUCCAUCUAGCACACAGAUAAAUUGUCUUUAGUGGCGGCUGAGGCUUUCUAUGACUUAUACCAUAUAUCUAUACACCCCAGUAUAUAGCUAAAAACUGGGUAAUGUAUUGGCCCCUACCUAAAAUUAUUGAUUGAUUCAAUGACAGCUAUCUGAGAAAAAUAAAAAAGGGAGAACUAUUCUUACGCUUGCCUUGAUUUAAGCAAAUAUACUUUUAAUUAGGAAUUCUAAUUUUCAUAUUUUACCCCAAACAGAUAAUCAAUAAAAUUAUUCUCCAAAUAUGUAUUUUAAUAGCAACAAAAAUGAGAAUUCCAUAAUUAUCCCUUUUAAAAUCUUUAAUAUGACAAGUCGUAAUUUAAUGUGUUUGGUAGCUCUCCUUUUUCUUUUUUUCUCCUCUACAUCACUUUCUCCAUAUAAUGUCUUUGAUAUCCUCUCCAUAUCAUGUUGUUGAUAUCCUACCUUUGACAUUUUUUUUUAUCUAUGUGUUGAAGUGACUACACUUUUAGAUUUCUUUUCACUCUUUUAAUAUUUUCAUAUAUAUUUAUUAACUUUAAUAAAUUUUUGAAAACAUUAAACAUAAAAUUAUAAUAUAUGAUAAAUAAUUAAUGAUAACAAAUUAAAUAUAAAUAUAAGUAUGAAAUGGACAAAAAAUAAAAAAUUUAUCCUACAAAUAAUAGACUAUAUAGUUUAAAAUAUUAGUUAUAAUAAUAUAUUUGAUACUUUAGAGUUUAGAUUAAAAAAUUAUGUUUUAUUUUUUAGAGGUUAGCAUAUAAUAUUUCCAUUAAACAAAGAUUUUUUUAUAUGAAUCCUAAAUAAAAUGUUUAUUUAUUUUGCAAAUUCUUAUCAUAUGCGAUAUAUAUAUAUAUAUAUAUCAUGUUAUUUAUAAUUUUUAUUAUUUUGUGUCAAAAUCACAGUCAAUGAUGAUAAUUUUAGUUAGUAUAGAGCUCUUAAAAGGAUGAUAUGAUGUAACAAAUAUGAAGUUAUUAAUUAUUUACUGAUAUUCUGGUUUUACUUUUAUUAAUCCUUAUUCCAUACAUUAUAUUUUAUGAGCAUCCUAGUUUGACAUUUCUUAUACUAUACAUGGCUUAGGUGCAUUAGAAGUUGCACGGAAGAUCCAAGUUAUAGAUUCCUUUUUUAAUUCAAUAUUUUAAAAAAAAAAUUAUACUUUCAGUCAAUGUCUCAUAUUUCAAACACGUACACACUCUAGAAUUUCUCGAAUUGUAGUCUAGAAUGUCAACUUAGUGUUUGAUGAAAAAAGGUAUAAACAAAUAUAUGAAAAAAGUAAUCAACAAGCAUAGGAUUCUAUUUGAAUAAAAAAGAGCCACUUACAUGCAUUGAUAAAGGAAACUCCAACUCAGCUAGCAUACAAUCCAUGCCAAAGCAGAAUCUUUACGUAAGAAGUUGAUAAUGCAAUUUGCCAGGAAGGAAAACUACUCUCCAUAUUUGUAAUGUGGAAAAUCAAGGUUGGAAGGAAAUUUUCACUUACUUAUUCUGUAUAAUAUUCCCUUUUUUUUUUUUUUUUGUAAAGAAAGUAUGUAUUGUUUAUUUAUUUUUUAGAAAACAAUUAGUAAAGUGUGGUGCGAAUUCAACCUUUCAAAAAUAGUUUCUAUUCUUCAUGGUAUCGGAGCUAGUUAAUCUAAAACAAUCCAAAGCUUCCAUGGAAACCCCAGAAAAUGUUCUUAGCAUUCAGGCUUUUCAUCAAUGCUCGAGCCUCAUCUCCAUCAAACUGAAUAUGUCCAAUCUCCUUUUGUGGCACUCACAAGUUCUUCCUCUUGUGCGAAGCCUUGGAUUAGUCCAUCAUCUCUCUGAAAAUAGACACGCAUAAGAGGGGAUAAUGGAUAGUGAAACAAAGGAGACCUAUGAUUAGUCAAUAGAGACAUGGUCUCACAAUGAUGAUCUACUUACCUCCUGGCUUCUUGGACCCAUGACAGAAGAAGUGAUUCUUUUAUUGGAUGGAACAGAGAUUGCCUAUGAUGUUUGGAACUCUCUGGAAGAAAAACUCCUUCCAAUGACCAAAGAGAAGGAUAUGCAAUUGACCAAUAGACUCCGAGGGCUGAAGAAAGGCACAAGGUCCCUUGAUGAAUAUCUAAGGGAGUUCAAAGAAAUUUUUGAUGCAUUAGCUACAGUUAGAAAACCAGUAAGUGACCUAGACAAAGUUUUUCAACUAGCUCAAGGUCUCAUAACUAAAUACAUGGAUUUUCGGGUGGCCAUGUUAUCAAAGCCACCAUAUCCCUCUUACAAUCAAUUUGUUCUGGCUCUACAAGGGCAUGAACAAAUGAUUAUGAUAGAAAAUGAAGAGAACAAAGAGUCAAUAAACCAUGAACAAGCCUAUUUUACCCAAUGAGGAAGACGAAGAAAUCAAGGAGGAAGAUUUCUUUCUAGAGGUCAUGACUUCAUUCUAGCAAGACGAUUCAAUCACAAUGCUACCAAUGACCAAAGGCAGAAUGUUCAUCCCAACACCAGAAAUCCAAGAAAUAGCUUCAACAACCAGCUUCCACCAGAACAAAAACUCCAAAAAUCUAAAGGUACUCUUAUUUACCAAAUUUUUAAUAAAGCUAACCAUUCAGCUUUGGAUUGCUAGAACAGAUUCAACUAUUUGUAUCAAUCAGAAGAGAUUCCUCAAGCUUUGGCUGCUAUGGCUCUAAAUGAAGAAGAUAAGGAUCCUAAUUUUUAUGUGGACUCGAGAGCAAAAACCCAUAUAACAAAUGACCUAGGUAAGAUUACCCAAGUAAUUCCAUAUAAAGGGCAUGAUGCAAUUUUUGUUGGAAAUAGAGAAGCUGUAAGAAUCUCACAAAUUGGUGAAGCUAGACUAAAAACUAAACAUAUAGAUCUAAAGCUUAAAAAAUUAUUGGUUAUUCCAAAAAUUAAGAAAAAAUUGUUAUCCAUUGGACAACGUACCUCUGAUAACCCAUGCUCCAUAGAAUUCUCAUCAACUAGUUUUGUCAUUAAGGAUCAACUUCAACAAGUGCUAGCUAGAGGAACUAAGAAGAGAGGUCUCUAUGCAUUGGAGGAAAAUGUGAUUCAAGCCAUGAUAGUUACUAGGUCUAGCAAGGCACCAUAAGAAGUGUGGCAUCAACGCAUGGGGAAUCUGCAAACAAAAUCUAUAAAGCUUCUACAAGAUAAGAAUUUCAUUGAAGUAUCUAGUUGGAUGAAAUCAACAAUAGUUUGUGUUAGUUUUCAAUUAGGAAAAAGUUGUAAAGUUUCUUUUGGCUUAAAAAAUAAAAUUUCCAGCAAUCUUCUUGAAAAAAUUCAUUGUGACUUAUGGGGACUUGCACCAAAUAAUUCAACUCAAGGAUACAAGUAUUAUGUUGUCUUUAUUGAUGAUCAUACUCACUAUACAUGGCUUUAUCCCUUGAGAAGAAAAUCAAAUUUCUAUGAAUGUUUUUUGAAGUUUCAAAAUCUGGUUGAGAAUCAACUUGAAAGAUAGAUAAAAAUCUUCCAAAGUGAUGGUGGAGGUGAGUUUCAAUCAAUUAAAUUUCAAAAUCACCUAAGCAAGUGUGGAAUUUUGCAACGAGUCUCAUGCCCAUGAACUCCAGAACAAAAUGGGGUUGUAGAGAGAAAGCAUAAACACAUUGUUGAAAUGGGUUUAACAAUGCUUUUCAAUGCCAAAUUACCAUUGAGUCUAUGGGUAGAUGCAUUCCAUACUGUCGUAUACCUUAUUAAUCGACUGCCUUCCAUGGUGUUGAAAAUGUAGAGUCCAUUCUUUAUGUUUUUCAAACAAUAUCCAGAAUAUAGGAGCUUGAGAAUUUUUUGUUGUCGAUGUUUUCCAUACCUUUGAGACUACGGGAAGAAUAAAUUCUCACCUAAGAUAUCUCCAUGUGUUUUUAUUGGAUAUAGCUCUCUACACAAGGGUUAUAGAUGCUUGCAUCCUUCAACUAAAAGAGUUUACAUAUCUCAUCAUGUCAUCUUCAAUGAAAAUUGCUUUCCUUAUGCUAACUCUCUUGUUAAGAAAAAUCAUUUACAGAUUCCUAUAGAAAUGGUAUCAUUCUCAACUUCAGAUGUUUUUUGUGAGACUUAAAAAAUGGAUCACCAAACUAAGUCUUGGAAGGAGAACACUGCUAACCAAUCAAGCAACUCCAAGAAGUUCAACCAUUGGUCAUGCACUACUAGGUAAAGAAACUGGUUUAGUGUUGACGGAAGAAUUUCUACUAGUUGUAUUACUAACCAAAAUACAAAAGCAUCAUGUGUUAAUCCGACUGGAACUCCCACUACUAUUACUGUUGAAAUUUCCACUAUUGUUACUAGUAAAAAUGACCAUAAUACCGUCAUUACUACUGAAACUCCCACUGAUGUUGCUCUUGGUUCUAGUGGCCACAAUUUCAACACUGCAACUACUAUUGGAACACUCUCCUAGAUUGAGUCUACUAGUAGCUACAAGCCUGCCAAUGUUAGUAAUUUUCCUUAUAUCAGUAAGCACCUAGUAGUUGAUCUCUCUUUCCCUUAAAAAUGGCAGAAAAAUGAGCAUGUUGGUUCAUCUCCGCAAAACAAAUCCACCAGUCACAGUGUUGAUGAUGAAGUUCCUGAUAUUAGCAAGCAAAUUGUUGUUGACAUCUCUUCUCCUCAGGGCUAACACAUAGAUAACAAAGAAACUCAUAUGAUCACCAGAAGUAAACUCAAGAAUGAUCCCAGUUUAAAGUCUCAAAUGGUUACUUUUGUUGCCAUAAGAAGUAAUAUUAGUGAGCCAAAAACAUAUUGUACAACAUUGAAAAUUCCCUAUUGGUUCAAACAAUGCAAGAGGAAAUUAAGGAUUUAAUCCAAAAUCGAACAUGGGAUUUGGUUCCUAGGCCUCCAACUGCAAAUAUUGUGGGUUCUAAAUGGGUGUUUAAAACAAAGCUAAAGGAAGAUGGAACCAUAGAUAGAUACAAAGCACAAUUAGUUGCUAGAGAUUUUUCUCAAAUACCGGGUUUGGACUUUGGAGAGACCUUCAGCCUAGUUAUAAAGCAUACUAUAAUCAGAUUGAUCCUUUCAUUAUCAGUAACCUUGGGGUGGACAAUGAGGCAAUCAGAUGUUAAGAAUGCCUUCAUACAUGGGUUUCUAAAGGAAAAAGUACUCAUGGAACAACCUCCAGGAUUUAUAAACAAGGACUUUCUGAAUCAUGUCUACAAAUUGAAUUGUUCUCUUUAUAGCCUUAAGCAAGCUCCAAGGGCCUAGUUAAAUAAACUAUUUCAAUGUCUUCUUCAUCUGGGGUUUUACUGUGGUAAAAUAGACUCGUCUUUAUUUAUUCUUCGCAAAGGUCAGUCUAUUGUUUUGCUACUUAUCUAUGUUGAUGAUAUUAUAGUCACAGGCAAUGAUAACAACAUCAUUAGUGACCUCAUCAGCACCCUGAGUAGUGAAUUUUCUCUCAAGGACUUAGGAUUUUUGCAUUAUUUUUUGGGAUUGGAGGUUAAAUAUCUUCUUAAUGGGUUGUUUCUUUCUCAAACAAAGUACACUAGAGAUCUCCUAGAGCACACAAAAAUGAUGGAGUGUACUCAUAUCAACACAUCCAUGGCUCUUAAGUCCAUCAUCACACCUUCUGAUGAACAACCUAUUGAUCCUACAUGAUAUAGGUAACUUGUUGGAUUCCCCUAAUAUUUAACCUUCACAAGGCUUGAUUUUGUGCAUGCAGUAAACAAGGCCUACCAACAUUUCCAAGCACCCACUAAAGUUGACUUGCAAGCUGUCAAACGCAUCCUUAGAUAUUUGAAGGAAACAAUGGAGCAUGGAAUCAGGUUUUUCAAGCAAAGUUCGCUUCGUCUCACUGGUUUUUGUGAUGCUGAUUGGGCAGGAUGCACAAACACAAGAAGAAGCACAUCUAGGUAUUAUAUUUUUCUAGGAGCCAAUUGUAUCUCAUGGUCCUCAAAGCGACAACCUACAAUUUCUAGAUCAAGCACCGAGGCCAAAUAUCGAUCCCUUGCGUCCAGUGCUGCAGAAAUAACUCGGCUUACUUUCCUUCUCCAUGAUAUUGGCAUUCAACUAUGUGAACCUUCUCAAUUUCUAUGCGAUAACCUCAGUGCCCUUCACAUGACAGUACAUCUCGUCUUCCAUGCAUGGUCCAAGCAUAUUGAGUUGGACUAUCAUUUUAUUCGGAAAAAAAGUUGCAAGUGGAGUUUUGAUUACUUGUUUCCUUCCAUCGUCCUUACAAGUAGCUGAUAUAUUCACAAAGACACUCCCUAAGACUUCAUUCCAAGUCUUUCGAUUCAAGCUAGGAGUGCACAAGUUACCACUCACUAGCUUGCAGGGGGCUAAUAAAGGAAAGUCAAACUCAACUAGCAUACAAUCCAUGCCAAAGCAAUCUUUACGUGAGAAGUUAGUAAUGCAAUCUGCUAGGUAGGAAAACUACUCUCAAUAUUUGUAAUGUGGAAAAUCAAGGCUGGAAGGAAAUCUUCACUUACCUGUUCUGUAUAAUAUUCCCUUUUCUAUGCAAAUAAAGUAUGUAUUGUUUAUUUAUUUUUUAGAAAAAAUCAGUAAAGCGUGGUACAAAUUCAAUCUUUCAAAAAUAGUUUAUGUUCUUCAUGCAUGGAUAAUAAAUCCCAUGGAUAAAUUGUAUUUAGCAGCGGCUGAAGCUUUCUAUAUGACUAAAGAGAAAAAAAGUCAUUAAAAAACUAAUUGCCAUGUGACUACGUCUACCAGUAGAUAGUUGAGAACAAGGUCUAACUCUUAACCUUUUGUACUACCUUUACAAAGGAACACAAAAUUGAGAGAUUCAAAGGCAACUAUAGUAUAAAUAUUGUUUCAUAAAUUACUUUUCAAAUUUAAUUUGAUAACAAAAAUUUAGAAUACAAAAGUAUGAAAAAUUUGUUCCAUUCCCAAAAUUUUUGCAAAUAAAAUUUUAAAGUAAUAAAUUAACACCAUGACUCUUUUCACAUCUUAUUCUCCUUUCUAUCAAAGAAAUGAUAGUAAUAAUCUUAUCUAUAAAUUUUAAAUGAGGCAAGAUCAUUGAAUUUUUAUUUUCUUUUAUUUUCUUGUUAUGUAAUUAUCAAACACAUUUUUUUUUUAAGACAAAAAAAAAUUAGACUGAAGAAAUAUAUUUUUGCCCUGAUUUAGUCACUUGGAUUGCAAUUCGAAGGAUGGAAAUAAAAGUGUAUUCUUGGAGUUAAAGAUCAAUUGAAAGCUUAAAGCGGCUUGUUCUCGAAUGAAUUUAAUGAAUGACGAAGAAUACAUGUGUUGUAAUUUUUUGGAUUUGUAGGGGAAUUUUAUGAAGCUCUUUUCUCUUUGUCAGGCUUCUUUUUUUGUAUGAUUUUUUUUCUUCAUCAUUUUCAUUCAAGGAAGUCGCAUAUAUUUAGAGAUGAAAUUAAAAAAUUAAAUUUAGAAUUCCUAAGAUUUGAUUACUUAAUUAAAAAAAAUUGGUUUCUUGAUUUUAGCAACUUGUCUCCUCUAUUAAGGAAGUUUGCUAAUAAGAGAAUAUUUAAUUAUCAUUUUCUUUUGACUUCAAUUAGAAGAUUUGAUUCGUUUGUUCAUAAAAUUUGAAAACAAAAAAAAAAAUUAUUUCUAUUUUUUUAUUUCAAUUGUUUAAUUUAAUUUGAUUUUGGAAGACUUUAUUUUAUAGUUUUCCAAAUUUUGUUACAUGUCAUUUUUUGAAUUGCAUGUUACAUAUUCAAUAUACAUGACCCAUCACUUAUUAAGCAUAAAUUUCGUUGAGCUAAGGAGUUACAAUUUUGAAGACUAAUUUGAUAGUAUUUUAAUCCACUAAAAUUUUUUAUGUCUACAAAUGCCCCGUCUUCAAGACAAACACACACAUGCAUUGUCAUGUAUAAAAGAUGAGUCUUGAAGUUAGCAUUUUGAAUCUUUAAUAUCCUUCUUUGAUAUUUUUUUUUUCAAAGAAAUAUUUUAAUAGGAAAUUUCCUAUUUCAAAAUACCUUUCUUCAACUUUUUCCAAAAACGACUUUAUUUUCUUCCUUUUUUUCUACCUGGUAUCAAGGAAAGACUUUGUGUUAAUGGGAAAGUUUCUUAUUUGAACAUAUAUUUGCUUUUCUCAUGGUAUUUUCACUUCCAAUUUAUCAUCCUACAAGAAGUCCUUCACCCUUGGUCGAUUGUAUCUUAGACUUGAUCACAUGCCUUUAACUUGUAAUUCUUGCUCCACUUUAUUUAUUUUAUUUUAUUUUAUUUUAUUUUUAAAAAAGAAUACAAUGUAUAUGAGCAAGACCUUGAGCAAGAGGAGCAAGGUGGAGGGUGGAGCAUGAGCUAGCCUUAGGGUAAGACCUUGAGCAAGAGAAGUAAUGUGGAGUGUAGAUCACAAACUUCUCUGGAGCAUGGUAGGCAUACCGUCACAGAAUUGUCUUCCACAUGGAGCAUGGUAGGGUUUAUACAUAUGAUAGGGUGUGCCAUCAUGUAACAAUGAAGAACAACAAUCCAUGGUGUACAAUUGGGAACAACAAUUCAUGCUAUCAAGCUUCAACAUUUUUUUUUACCCCCAUCUCCAUUUUUUCAACUUCUUUUUUUUUUUUUUGUCCUUUUUUUUUCCCUUUUUUUAAGCAUUGUUUUUAAGGAAGAAAUAGGUUUGCCAUCCCUUACUAUGAGGUCAAUAUCCAUCACUUGCAAAGACAAAUUUGCUUUUUGAUAUUUUUUCUUCUUCAAUAAUUAACUUAACAUUUUAAUAUAUAUAUAUAUAUUUUAACAAACUUGAAUAUUCAUAAUAAAAUAAAUAUUUAAUGUCUUUACUCAUCCAAAUUAGCUUGACUUGAAUACUUAGUAGAUCCAUACUUAACACCCAUGUAGACGAGCUGUAACCUUGAUGGCAGGUUGUGUUGUAUUUUCGACACUUAAUGUGCCUUAAGAGUUAAAGUCUUCUCUCAUACAAAUUAGCUUGGUUUGGAUGCACAAUGGUGUGUAACUUUUUAACACUUUAUUAAACUUGGAACCAUAUUUAACACCCACGUAGACAAGUCAUAAUCAUGACAUGGAUCACUGUUUUAUUUUUAGCUCUUAAUGUGGCUUAAAUAUUAAAUUCUUCACUCAUACAAAUUAAAUUGGGUUAGAUGCACAAUGGUGUUCAACUUGUUAACAGUUAAUUAAAAUUAGAACCAUAUUUAACACCCAUACAAACAAGUCAUAACUUUGACGUGGAGCAGUGUUGUAUCUUUGGCUUAAUGCCGCUUAAGUGUUAAAGUCUUCACUCAUAUGAAUUAGCUUCACUUAGAUGCAUAGUUGUAUUAUACUUUUUAACACUUAAUUUAAAUUUGGACCAUAUUGAAAACCCAUGUGAACAAGACAUAACCUUGUAGUGGUGUUAUAUUUUUGACACUUAAUGUAGCUUAAAUGCUAAAGUCUUCACUUCUAUGAAUUGGUUCACCUUGGAUGAAUAGUGAUGUCUAAAUUGUAAUAAUUAAAAUUGAAACCAUAUUUAACACUCAUGUAGAUAAUCAUAACUUUGACGUAAUGGCAUUGUAUUUUUGACACUUAAUGCAGCUUAGGUGCUAAAGUUUUCACUCAUGAGAAUUGGUAUGAGUUAGAUGCAUUGUGGUGUCCAACUUUUUAACACUCAAUUAAAAUUGGAACCAUAUUUAACACCAAUGUAGAUAAGUCAUAACCUUGACGUGAAGCGAUAUUGUAUUUUUGACACUAAAUGCAACUUAGGUGCUAAAGUCUUCACCCACGCAAAUUGGUUCAUCUUGGAUGCACAAUGGUGUCGAAUUUUUUUAACAUAUAAUUAAAAUUUGAACCAUAUUUGACACUCAUGUAGACAAGUCAUAACCAUGAUGUAGAGUAGUGUUGUAUUUUUAACACUUAAUAUGACUUUACUGGUAAAUUCUUUACUCAUGUGAAUUGCCUUGAUUUGGAUGCACAACUAACUUUUUAACAUUUUAUUAAAUUGGGUAUCAUAUGUGUUGUUUUUUUAACACUUAAUACGACUUUAGUGGUAAAUUCUUUACUCAUGUGAAUUGUCUUGAUUUGGAUGCACAAUGAUGCCUAACUUUUUAACAUUUUAUUAAAUUGGUAUCAUAUUUAACACCAAUGUAGACAAGUCAUAACUUUAAUGUAGAUGCGGUGUAGUAUUUUUGGCACUUAAUAUUGUUUAAGUGCUAAAGUCUUCACUCAUGUGAAUUUUCUUGGUUGAGAUGCACAAUGGUGUGUAACAUUUUAACAUUUAAUUAAAAUUGGAACCAUAUUUAACACUCGUGUAGAGAAGUCAUAACCUUGACAUGGAGUAAUAUGCAAUUUUUUUAUAUUUAAUAUGACUUAAGUGCUAAAGUUUUCACUCAUGCGAAUUGACUUGACUUGGAUGCAUAGUGAUGUCUAACAUUUUAACACUUAAUUAAAAUUAGAGCUAUAUUUAAUAAUCAUGUGGACAAGAAAUAACUUUGACGUGAAACAAUAUUGUAAUUUUGACACUUAAUGUUGCUUAAAUGCCAAAGUCUUCACUCAUACAUAUUGACUUAGCUUGGAUGAAAAGUGGUAUCCAACUUUUUGACACUUUCUUAAAUUUGGAAUUAUGUUUAACAUCAAUAUAGACAAGUAAUAACCUUGACGCAGAGUGAUGUUAUAUUUUUAGCACUUAAUAUAGCUUAAGUGCUAAAAUAUCCACUUCUAAGAAUUGACUUGGCUUGGAUGCAUAAUGGUGUCCUACUUUUUAACACUUAAUUGAAAGUGAAAUCAUAUUUAACACCCAUUGUAUGCUAGUCGUAAACUUGAUAUAGAGCAUUGUGCAACUUUUUAACACUUAAUGCGACUUAAAGUGCUAAAGCCUUUACUCAUAUGAAUUAAUUGAACUUAGAUGCACAUUUGUUUCCAACUUUUUAAUACAUAAUUAAAAUUAAAACCAUAUUUAAAAACCAUGUAGACAAAGACAUAAUCUUAACAUGGAGCUAUGUAUAACUCUUAACACUUAAUUAAAAUUGAGAUUACACUUAACAACCACAUAUUCCUCCUAUUUUUCAAUUUUUUCUUGUGGUGAUGAUUGAACUUAACUAGUUUGUCCAAGUUGCCUAUAUACCCUUAACAGAGAGGGAAUCAAGUCAAACUUAGUUCAAAGUAUUUCUUUUAAUCUCUAACUUUUGCCAAGGCUAAUGAUUUUAAUCUUACAAGCUUGUCUUAACUUUUGACCAUAUAUGUAGUCUUUUUAGGUUUCAAUUUAACGGCCUAUAUAUGACUUGUACAAAUUGAAAAUGACUUCAAUCAUGUGUAAAAAAUAAUAAAAGAUAUUCAUUCCUAGUUUUAGGGCAACGAAAAAUAGUUGAUCCUUUUUUAUAUUAUUAUUAUUGUUGUUGUUAUUAUAAUUAUUAUUUCACCUUACAAAAAGACCUUCUGCAAUUAAUAUUUUAUACAUAUAUAUAUAUAUAUAUUUUAUCUUUUAUAUAUUUAGUUUUCAUAGUAUUUUUUAAUUCAAUAUAUAUAUUUUUUAAAUAUCUAUACUUUCGGUCAAUGUCUCAAAUUUAAAGCACGUGCAUGCUCUAGAAAUUCUCAAGUUGUAGGCUUGUGGCCUACAAUGUCAACUUAGAGUUUGAUGAAAAAGCGCAUAAACAAAGACAAAAAAAUUAAUCUACAAGUACUUGGAUUCUAUUUGAAUAAAAAAGAGCCACCCACAUGCAUGGAAUAAAUAUAUAUCCCAUGGAUUAGUUGUAUUUAGCCACGGCUGAAGCUUUCCACUAUGACUUAAAAAAAAAAAAAAAGAGGAUAAUGCCAUUAAAAAACUGAUUGCUACGUGGGUAUGCCUGCCAGUAGAUGGCUGAAAACUAAGUUCUAUUCUUUUCAAUAGUUGAGAGAUUCAAUGGCAACUAUCGUAUAAACAAUGUUUCAUAAAUUACUUUUAAAUUUUGACAGCAAAGACUAAAAAUGUAAAACCAUAAAAAAUUUGUUCCAUUCCCAAAUUUUUAAAAAUAAAAUUGAAAAUAAUAUAUUAACGCCCAUGACUGUUUUCACAUCUUAUUCUCAUUUCUAUCAAUGCAAUCAUCGUAAGCAUCUUAUCUAGAAAUAUGGCCUAGAGCCAUAGAGCUGCCUUUUCUUUAGUCCUAGAGCCAUUUCAUGAGCUAAUAGUAGUCUUUCCUUAGCAUUUCCAGCCCAAAGCUCCCAUUUCCUUAGGCCUAGAGACGUUUUCAGCCCAGAGCCGCUGUUUCUUUCGGCCUAUAACCAUUUUCAGCCUGAAGCUGCCUUUCUCUAGCAUUUUCAGCCCAAAGCUUCCUUUCCUUGGCAUAUUAGCCCGAAGCUUCUAUUUCUUUAGGCCUGGAGCCAUUUCAACCCAGAACUGUCAUUUCUUCUAAAUAGCUUCUCUUUUAAAAGACUUCAGUUUGUCUUUCUAGUCACAAAAUUUAAGGCUUUGUUCCAGGUUUGAAGAAGCUGGUAAAAAUCUGGCUGUUGACUAAGCUCAACUAAAAAACAGUAAAGCUUGCUGACCUGGGUAAUAAAUAACAGCUAUCUUGGCAGUAUUGUUAGUUAGUUAGAGGUUUUUUUUUUACUAUUAUAAAAGGUGCAGACUUGGGAAAACUGAAAUAAGGUAUUCAAUUGUACAGAAUAGAGAGCAAGAAAAGCAGAGAGCUUUGAAAUCCAUAACCACAGGUCUGUUUCGGUUUUCCUAUAGAGAAAAGAAAGAAACAGAGGUGAGGAGGGUUCUUGGGGAAAGCCUAUAAGUUCUUUGUUUUUUAUUCUUGUGUAAAUUCUGGUUGGUACAAUUUAAUAAAGGCUUCAGGAAAUCAGUGUGAAUGUAGAUCAAGUUGAUCGAACCACGAUAAUUCUCUUGUGUUCUUGAUCUUGGUUGAUUGUCUACAAGCUGUUUGAUUUUAUUCCUAAGAGAAGUUCUUGCAAACUGGUUGUCUUUUUCUGGUUUAGUUUCUGCUCUAAUAGUCCCUAAUUCAAGACUGGCUUUUCUCAACAGCAUGGUUUGAAACACAUAAUUUUCACCAUUCAAAUGCAAAACAAUUAACUAAUUUCAAAUGCUAUGUGUUGUUUCCUUCUAAUUUCCCCUUUAUUUUUUUUUCUCUCCUAUUUUCCUUCAAAUUUUUGGAAAACCAAACAGAGCCUAAAAGAAAAGAUAAUUUUACUUAUUUUGAAAGUUGUUUCAUGUUAAUUUAAUGAAGCAUUUAUAAUAUUAAGAUCGCCCUUUCAUAAUCAUGAGGUAACCUUAGUUUCAACUUCUACAAGAGGCUAAAUGAAAAAAGCUAUCACAGAGAAGAAGGCCUCAGCCAAUGAGUGGAAAAUACAAUUUUAUUAAUACUUGAUAUCAAAAAAAAGAAAAAAAAAAAAAAGGAUGAUUUUACUUUCAAACCAAGGAUUUAUUUAUGUUGAAGUGCAGUCUCCAUAUGCACAUGUGACUGCAUUUACAGGAUAAAGAAAGACAAGGAAAUUAACAAUGUUGGACUUACUGGAAAAUCAUACAAAUUAUUGAAGGAGGACCUUAGCUAGGCUAACUGUCUCCUAAAUUGCCCAUCUUUUAUAUAUCUUUGCAAUCAUCCAUCUCAUCAUCAGCUUUGAUUUUAGAUGGUGAGGAUGUGAAAGUAACAGGAAGCAGUGGACGAUUGUUCACAGUGAGGCUUAGCACAUCAGCUCUCGAAUAAUGUCCUACCACAUCGAACUGGAACUUUGCUUUAGGAAUCUCUCCACGAACAUCUGCAUAUCAAGUGAUCAUCAAAAUAUUUGAUCAGCCCGUGAUAAAUAUCAUAGAGUAUCAAGUCUUCCAUGAAACCAUGUUUGCAGUCCUUUUAAACCUAAAGAAUUGACUCAUUUGCCUUAUCUGCAUACUGAAAUAUUUGGAUAUACAAUUGGAGAAGUUAGGGCCAUACCAAGAUCAGCUGUGAAGAGGCCUUCUCCUUCAUAAUUUGGUCCUGCUAGAAUUUCGCCAUGGGGCGAAAUGAUGACACUACCUCCAGCCCAAACAAUAGAAUCUGGAGUGACAUCUUCUUCUGUAGGACUGUAAAGAUACUCAGGUGGAGGUGGGUAAUCUUUCCUCCGACAGAACUGGAUGGGUGAAAGAACAUAGCAUCCACCCUCAAUAGCGAUGUGUCUCAUUGUGGCUACCCAUUUAUCCCCGGAAUCGGCAGUAGGAGCACAAUAUAUCUCAAUACCUAUAUAUAUGAACAUUGGUAUUCUGUGAUCAAUCAAUCCCAUAUCAAAGCCACAAUGUAUUUCAAGACUGCUUAGAUUAAAACCCUAAUAAUGUAAAAGGGUGCUGGAGGUCCUAUUUGGUAAUUGUCUUCGGAACAGUUUUGAGAAAUAGUUUUUGAAAGUUGUUCUUUAAUAGUUUAUAAAACAUAAGAAUAUUUGAAACCUAAAAUAUAUUCAACUUAUUAAAAAUAAUUUUUAUAUUUAAUACUUUAUUUUUAAAUAUUCUUCAUAUUUAUAUAAUUAUUUUUUAAAACAACCUUAAAAACAAAUGAAAACAAUGAAGAAAAAAGUUUAAAAAAUAUUAUCUGAAAACAUUUUGUUUUAUGUUUCUAAGAAAAAACAAAAAGCGGUAUUCUAAUUGUCAAUUGUGUUUUCCUAAAUUUUUUUUGGAUAACAAAAGAUUCCUCUAAAAUAUAAUUGUGAAACAAAGCCAAACUAUUUCAAGCCAAACCAUACUAGUUAAUGAAGAAAAAAAAAUGGUAAAAGAUGUACCUUUGCCAUACAUUGAUGUCCUGAAAAGAGGCAUUCUAUUUUCCCAACAAAUGACCGAACCAAGUUUUCCAUAUGGAGUGUCAUAAAUUGGAGUUGUCGAGCAAUCUCCGAAACCCCAGAAGAGCCGCUCCCAAUAUGUUGGCAUGAGUUUCCUAUGUUUUCCAAGGUAAUUGCCUUCAGGAUCAAAGAAGAGAACAGUGCAAUACAAUGUGUAUCCAUCUCUCUCAACAACACCUGUCACUAAGUAGACUUUGUAUUUCGCAGCCAUUGAUGCCAAUCUAUCAACUUCAGGUCCUGAAAAUACAUUAAUAUGAG
rnacentral:lncRNA from 1 species